ACAGAAAUGACAUACAAACUAGCCCAUAUGGGUUUUACCUCGUAGGUAGCCGUGGUAGUGAGCAACACCACACUACCAUCACUGAGGACCUGAGGUACAGUUUGCGCCUGCAACAUGUCCCGGUCCUUCUCUACGCUUUCCACGCUGCUAUAUGCUGUAUAUGCUAGUAAAACUGCACAGAAUGUGAACUUAGUGAAUCAACUUGGCAAGAAUAGGUUACCUGCAAAACUGAGCACCAGGAGUGUUCUAUAAAGAAACUUAACCCAAAAGAUGGGGUCCUGGCUUGAAAAAACUGAUUUACUGCUCGACUGAGCAGCCUGGUCGUCAGUGUUGGAGUCCCCUACUGCGCCACCCCUGUUCCAGAAAUUCUGAAACGACUCUUCGAUAUCUUGCAACUUGUGACUCGUUGCCAAGAAACAUGUUCCCAGGAAGGACACAAUCGCUGACAAAAUCCCGGUAUAGACUUGGUUUCUGUUGUUUGAUCCGUCUUUCCACAGCUUGUUCUGCUUGAACUUGACGUCUCUGAGCUGUAACAUGGACUCAAUCAUGAGCUUGAUCUCUGUGCUGAUUGCAGUGUCCAGCUUGCUCACACAUAGCUUGUCCUUGAACUCGAGCUGUCCCAUAGGCAGAUCUUCUGAACAGGGGGUACUGAUCUUGUUCUCCCGGGGAGUGGGAGCCCAGAGAAAUUGUCGCAUCUUGUUCAGGUAGUACUCACCAUCUUCAAUGCUCAGUACCAGCUGAUUGGUACUGCACCUGUUCUGAACCUCCACACUGGAUGGCACCGGUGACUGCUGCAUCAAUGCUUCGACACAGGAUGUUGUGUUCACCAUGGCUUGCAAGUUAUCCGCUGUGACGGUGGUGAGGGCAUACCCAAAAGAGACAUUCCCCUUAAAGGUUGCAAUAAAUGGUGCAGGCUUGUCAGAGGAGGUGUUGUGUGUGUUAAGAACAAGCCAAUUGGUUCCACCGGCGUUCCAAGCCCAGUAAGACUUUAGCAAAUUGCAAGGGGAACGAUAGUCGAAUGGUCCCCACCUACUGGUGUCCAUGUUCUUGGUGACCACAACACAUACCUUGGUGGAGGAAUUGGAACAGCCGCAUUGGAGGGUAGGAAACCCGAGGUAAACUGCGGCGUCGUUGCUGUAGUAAGAUGGUGCAAACCCACACUUUGGUACAUCGUUAGUGUUCGUAACAUAAUAGUGGCUCGAGGAGUUGAGCUUCUGGUACUUGGUGAAGUCCGUCCUUGCAUUGCUGGCGUAGUUGGAAAGGUAGAAUCCUGCUGUGCUAUGCUGCAUGUUCUUCAGAUCUGGUUCAAUGCUAGGUGCAGUAGCAGCCCUGUAAGGUACACCAACAAGGAGCAGGCUGAGAUCCACCUCGUUUUCCAUCGAAAGGAUGGCAGUAGUCCAGAGGCAUGACCGAUUGCUCUGGCUACCACCGAUGGAUAGGCACAUGCGAAUGCUGAUACCCCAGUCCACUUGCAUCCUCCACUGCCAGUUGCGCCGGUGCUGCUUCAUGUGACCGCCUGCUAUGUGGGGCUCGGCCGAGGCAUACAGCUUGUUGGCUCCCCCAUCACUCGUCGAGUUGCUGAUCACUCUCCAUGCACUAGCUUGCUGGUAGGCAGAAUUGGCGAGCUCGACGUCGACGCCAGUUGUCGUGGAGAGGACGCUGGCGAGGGAAGAACGCAGAGACCAUCUAUAGAGCGGAUCGAAUUCGUUGACAAAGCUGUUCACUUCGGGGCAUGCAAAACCCUCCCUGGACGGGAGGUCGAGAUAGAAAUGAUCGUCGUCGGACCCAUGACAGGAAUGCGCGAGAAGUAGGAGUAGUGCUGUUGCAGGCAGAAGAAGUGAGAGGAGCAUACUUGACAAGAAGGAGGAUUCUCAAAGCUAAUUGCAGAAGCUCAUACAAAUUCAAGAAAACAUAUGAACUCAAGAGGGUCACAGUGAGAUUGAACAAUGCAUUUACUUUGUCACGUAAACUAUAUAAAGGCAUCUUUUCGCUUUCAUAGUAGAUUAGUCAAGCUUCCUGUUCCUUUCGACAAAUCCUCAUUAACAAAUGAGCUUAAGAGCACAGGUCUUCCAUCAGGUUCAGGGUACUUACCAGUCCAAGAAGUCAGUCUACACAAGUUGUGUUGACAAAAUAUCAUUAUUAUGAUUAUUGUAUAUUACCUGUCCUAUCUAGAUCAGUACCUUAUAAAUGAAACCUCUUCUUUCAUAAGAGUUGCCAAUUACUGAGAAAGAACAGAUCAAGAGUUCAUCCUUAGCUCUUGCAACUCCAUUUGACUGUGAUGAGCAAUGGAAAGUAUCCUAUCACAAGCCUGAAACCACUGUUUAAACCUUUUGCAUGAUCUUAAUAAUAUCUCGUGAAAAGAUCUGUAGCUCAGGAGUCAAUCAUAUUUAUCAACUUUGACGACCUUUGGAUAAAUGCAAUGUUCUCUAUUAACAUCACGAGCAUUGACAAUUUCCUCUGAAUUCAUCGUACAAUAAAAAAAAGGUGACCCGGUAUGAGCUUUGCAUCAGCAUUACACACAUUCACUCCGCGUCUCUAAUAUAAAUGACAACACACUACUUUAAAGGUUUCAUGGCGCACUCCAUCAUUCUAUACUUUCUUCUUGAGUUUAACUGCCAGGUUUUAAGCCUGCCUUCUGUGUUCGUAGUGUUAGCCCAUGGCUUUGAUUCUCCAGGAACGAGAUCAUGGAGACACUCGCAUUGUUUAUUUGGGGAAUGUCGAUAAAUCCCUUCAUCCAGUAGCUCCCAUCACGCACUCCUUCGGGAUGUUCUAGGAAGGUAAAACUUUGAUCAUUAAAAGAAAACUUCAUCCAAAUUCGUUUAUACCAGUGACGAGGCUGCUAGAGAAUCACUGAGGCAUGGAUUCAGUGGCUUCUCAGCUCGACUAACAGAAGAACAAGCUGCUAAAAUUUCCAGUAAACAUAAAUUUAUUCCAAAGUCUAUCCUUCUUUCUUUUUUCUUUUCUUCCCACAAUUGCAGGCGUUCCAAAUGUGUUGUCUAUCUUUCCCAAUAAAAUCCGCAGGAUCCACACCACAAACUCAUGAGAGUUUCUCGGCCUCUAUUGAAGUGGAGAGAACUCCUUGUUUGGUGCUAGCGAAUCUACUGAAUCAUCUUGGCUAUGGCACAACACAAAAUAUGGCAAAGACGUUAUUGUCGGUGUCUUUGAUUCAUGUAAUUCCCUCUUCCUUCUUUUCUUUUUUGUAAUAAUAUUCGUUUUUCUAGGAGUGUGGCCGGAGUCCGAGAGUUUUUUGGAUCACGGCAAGGAAUCAAUCCCCAAAAGAUGGAAAGGAACAUGCGAAACUGGAGAGAAAUUUAACGCUUCUCACUGCAACAAGUAAAAUAUAAGAAACCACAUAAAUUCUAGCUACAUGCUAACUCGUUAAUUUGUGAUCUUCCAGGAAACUUAUCGGUGCCAGAUUCCUUUCUCACUGCCUACAGGAUGCAAAAGCACACCGAGAAAUUCUUUCUCCAUGUUAAUGGCCAUGGAACUCACACGGCUUCCACUGCCGGAGGCCGAUUCGUGAGAAACGCAAACUGGCUUGGGUACGCAAAAGGCACUGCAAAAGGUGGCGCUCCAGACGCAAUCUACAAGAUAUGCUGGAGAAACAUCACGGAUGACACUGUCGGGUGCCCAGACGCUCACGUUCUCAGUGCAUCCAGCGGGUGAUUACUUCCUAGAUUCUACGUCCAUUGGAGCGUUCCAUGCCAUGCAGAAAGGCAUUGUGGUGGUGGCUUCCGCUGGAAACAGUCACCAAAUUCUGGGACCUGGCUCGGUGGAAAAUGUAGCACCCUAGAUCAUUACUGUUGGAGCAACCACUCUUGAUCGAGCCUACUUUGGAGACCUUUUCCUUGGCAACAAUGAAUCAUUUCGGAAUUCUAAUUUGAAAUGGUUUCCAGGGUUUUAGAGCUUUUCAGCCAGGUAAAGCAAUCAUCCUGCGAGUUAAGAUGAUAUUGGGUCUUUGGAUCCCAACGGCAUGUUUGAGAGGGCGGAUGCAUCCAGCGUUCCAAUCUUUCGUAGUUUUUAGUGCUGGUGGAGCUGGGAUUAUCUUUUGCAACUCAACUGAAGUUGAUCAAGAUACUGGAAAUGAGUUUCUUCCUUCAGUUCUUGUUGAUGAAAAAGCUGGAGAAGCCAACUUUUCGUAUAUAGGUAAAAAUGUUUGUGUUUUGUAUUUUAUUUAACCUUUUGUGCCUGCCAGGAUUCCUGUAGCACAGAUAAAAACAUCAGAUUUCCUUGACAAAUCAAAAGCCUGCUCCUCUCAUGGCAGCAUUUUCAUCCUCUGGUCCCAACCUGGUUGAUCCAGACAUACUCACGGUAUAUUUUUAGUGUUAUUUUGUUAGUUAUUUUGAGACUUUUGUUCUUUCAGCCUGAUAUUACAGCUCCAGGAGUACACAUUUUAGCAGCAUACAGACAAUUCAAUAACUCUAAAGUACCAUACAAACUUGUUUCUGGAACCUCUAUGUCUUGCCCUCAUGUAAGUGGGAUUGUCGCGCUACUAAAGUCCUAUUAUCCAACCUGGAGUCCAGCUGCAAUCAAAUCAGCCACAGCAACAACAGGUAAUGUACAACUUGAAAAAAAGUGAUAUACAUAUUAUUCUUAACACCUUACAAAACAGGUUAGUGGUUUGAUAAUCUUGAUGAAUCAAUCAAGCAUCACCCUUUGAUUCUGGUGGAGGGCAUGUAAAUCCAAAUGCCGCUGCACACCCUAGCCUAGUAUAUGAUGCCGACGAGCAAGACUCCAUUGGAUAUCUCUGUGGUCUGGGGUACAACCAGACGAAACUUCAGAUCCUCACGCAAACUGCCGCUAAGUGUCCCGACAAUCCCACAGACCUCAACUGUCCAUCCAUUGCCAUCUCCAAUUUAAGCCGCAGCAAAGUCGACGAACUACACGGCAGCUAUCGAAGCACCAGAGAGUGUGUCGGUGUCGGUUCAUCCAUCUGUGCUGCGGUUCAAGCACAACGGCGAGACGAAAGCAUUCCAGGUGAUAUUUAGAGUGGAGGACGACUCAAACAUUGAUAAUGAUGUUUUCGGGAAGUAUAUGGUCACCAGUCCCAUUGCAGUCAGUUUUGGAUGAAGUAAAAUUUCAUGUGCAUGCUCAGAGUAAAAAGGCUGAUACAUUUGUGUUUUGAAUAAAGACAAACAUUUAAAUGGUUUUCAAUUCGAAAAAGGUCACAAUUAUUCAAGUAGAGAAAACACAGAUACACAUUUAAUAUCUACAAUGUUUGUUUGUAUGGAACAUGUACAAAGAACACUUGUGCAGAAAUUUAAACACAAUUGAAAGUUUUUUUAAAGAAAAUUCUUUUGAUAUUAGUACGUUUAUUUGGAUGGUGAAGAACCCUAAAAUUCAAUGGAAGCUCCUGCCCCUUGCAAUCCCUUGCAAGCUGCGGCCUCCAGGUAUGCUGCAGGGCAGAGAUUACAGGAGAAUGCGGGCCAGAAAGAUGGUCUAGCGCCAUUGUUUUGGCAUCCGAGAACAAAUCCAGGAAGAAGAAUGUGGAGGACGAUUUCGCUGCAUACACGACGGCUGCGUUGGCUCUGCUAGAGGAGUAUGCUGCCGGAUGCAGCGUGGCUGUGCUAGAGAAGAAGAAAGAUUUGUCAUCCAAUCUGGGAGCAAAGGAAACUUUGCAGCGUGAGAAAUUUUCUUCCAGAGUUUCUCAAAGGGAAAGUUCGACCAUUGGACGAGGACGAAGAGAAAGAAGAGAAGGAAGACGAGAGAGUGGAAGUUUGGGAGGCGACUUGAGCCCAAUGACCGCCGAGGAGGAGCGUCAGCUACUGGCUGAAGCUGAGGAGGAGCUCUCGGAGCUCAGGAAGAUGCAUGGAGAGCGUUCCAUUUUUGAGAAUCGCUCGAAGCUUGGGAUCGAAGGAUGACGACCGCGUGGAGAUAAGAUGGAAGUCUGGAACGAAGAGGAGGACUCUUCCACAGAUGUUUCUACGAGUGACAAGGAAGAUCGAGCAGGAACAAGAAAGGCGUGCCUGCUGUGAUGAGGUGCUUCGACCGAGCAAAGAUUUACGUCAAAGCUGGGGAUGGUGGCAAUGGUGAAGGAGCCGAAAUGUUGGUUCUCAAUCCCCUCUCUUCAAGCGUGAUGGUUUGUUCUUCAGUUUUUGUUUUUUGUUCUUCCUGUCUUGAUUUGUUUGAGCUGUGAUCUUUCCAGGUGGGUCGAUCUGGAGCUUAAACUUGUGGCAGACGUGGGAAUUAUAGGUGUUCCAAACGCUGGAAAGAGCACGCUACUAAGUGCUAUCAGUGCUGCUCGUCCCGCCAUUGCUGCGUAUCCAUUUACGACACUACUACCCAACCUUGGAGUGGUGUCGCUGGACUUCGAUGCAACGAUGGUUAUAGCCGACUUGCCCGGGCUUCUCGAAGGUGCUCACGCUGGAUACGGCCUCGGUCACGAAUUUUUACGCCACUGAGCGCUGUCGAGUCCUGGUAAGCUUUUUGUUUUAAACUUACCUGCGUGCUAAAAGUUUCUUUGGAGAACCAGAUUCAUGUUAUAGACGGUACGACUGCCAGAAUUCGACUACGAUGCAGUGACUGGAGCUGGAACUGUUUGAUCCUCGCCUUUGCUCCAACAAGAUGGAUGUCCCAGAGGCUGCCGAACGCUGGGAAAGUUUCCGGAAAGCUAUGGAGUCUCGUGGAGUGGAGGUUCGUUCCAUGAGCGCCGCAAGUUGUACGUCAUGCGUAUAAGCUUCUACAGACAGUCCCAGUUGGUAAGUAUGAAACACUACUUUUAACUCGACUGUGGAACUCUUUCUCUACUAUUCUUGCAGAAGAACCCGUGUCGAUCUCGAACGACGUAGCUUCGAUGGUGAAAAAGGAGCGAAGUAGUCCCAUUGGAGAAUUUAAGGUGGACGUCGACCCAGAAUCAGACUUGUGGCACAUUUACGGUUCUGGUGUGGAGCGCUUCACGCAAAUGACUAACUGGGAGUAAGCUUACAUCUUUUAUCUUCCCAUUCAGUUCUUACACGACUCGCAAGUAUUUCGAGUCCCUGCAACGAUUCGAGCGGGUCUUAGAGUGCAGCGGGAUAAACGCCGAGCUGAAAAGUAGAGGAAUUCACGAAGGAGACAAAGUUGCGAUCGGAGACGUGCGUUAAAUUCACACUCUUCGUUCUGUGCUAUGAGCCCACUGUUUGUUAUUCUUUUUUCUUCGAACUUACAGAUAGUUUUCACUUGGCACGAUUCCAAUGAUAUUGCAAAUGUGGGGACUUGGAGACGCGGCCAGAGAGGCUAAAAAAGUUGGCCACACUGAUGCCUCGUUUGUAGAAAAGGUGAUCUUUUUUCUACAAUUUUUCGCUUGCGUUCCAGAGAGACAAAAGGCCUGGUGGUUUACGUUUUUGCAGCGAUAAUGGCUACCAAAAGUGUUAACAUUUGGAAGAUACAAAGGCCAGCCUCUCGGUUCUCUUCCAGCGAACUAUCUGCAAUGGAUGGCACAGGAGCUAGACAACCACUGGAAUGGCUUGGCCAGGCAAGUUCUAUCAGAAAGAAAAGAAGGAGAAAGCUCGAGCACUCAAGAAGGUGGCAGCAACGUUUUUGCUCCGCAGAGUUCUCGCAAAGUUGGAUCCAUGGUUCUCACUUCGGGAAGUACAAAGGCCAAGCGCUGGGUUCUCUCCCGGACGUGUACCUGGAAUGGAUGGCGAACAACAGCACACACACUGGGGGAGACACGGGAGAGAGUUUCUGGAUAGCAAGCACGGUGGUGAUCGAGAAGUUCGCAUCGCCCAAGAACAGGAUGGAUCGAUCGCGUUGAAGAAGCAGAGCCUGGCUUGUCAAGAGAGGAGAGGCCUCGAGGAAGCCAAGCGGAUCCAUGCGCGGGUGAAAGCCAGCGCCUAUCGCAACGAUCGAUACAUUGCCAAUCUUCUCAUGGACAUGUUUGGAGCUUGCGGGAGCGCGGACACGGCGCUGGAGAUCUUUGAGAAGAUCCAGGCGCCCAACAUCUUCUCCUGGAACAUCAUCCUCAAGGUUGUCACGCAGAAGAAUGGAUGCGAUCCAGAGGUGUGGAAGAUUUUCGAGAAGAUCCCGGAGAAGGAGAAGAAUGCCGUGUCGUGGAACAUCGUGCCGCGCUCGCGGCCGAGAAGGGGAAUCUGCGCAAAGUGGAGGAGUUUUUCUACGAGAGGAUGCCCGUCAAGGAUGUGUUCUCCUGGACUACGCUGCUCAAUGCCUACAUAACAAAUGAGCGGUUUGACAAGGCCAGGGAGAUCUUUGCGAGCCUCGAUGACGAGAAUGUAAACGCCGCUACGUGGAACACGAUGAUAGAAGGAUAUGCCCAGGCAGGGGAUAUGCUGCGAGCCAGAAAAAUGUUCGAUAGCAUGCCCGAAAACAGCGUUGUGUCGUGGAAUUUGAUGAUUACAUAAUGUGGAAGAUGGAUGACUCUACUUGCUUGCUGCCGGAGGCACUUGGACGGGGAGAAUGGCAAGCUUUGCGCAGAGAGAUUGUUUGUUUUGGAUCCAGAGAACGUUUCACCGUACAAGAUCCUCGUGGAGAUCUACAGCCAAACCGGGAGAGCGAACGACAUUGCCGGAUUGAAGAAGAUGGUGAGAGACAAAGGUCUCCACAAGCUCGAGGCCGAGAGCCUGAUCCAGAUCGAUGGCAUCACGCACAAGUUUCGAGUGGGAGACACUGCGCAUCCGAGCAUCAAGAAAGUUCGGAAGGAAGUUGCCAGGUUGACGAAGCUGCUGGAGAGAGAGAUCAUGGGUAUAAACACGAGAACUUGGGAUGGAGCAAGUGUGGCAGCGGUGUUCACAGUGAGAAGCUUGCAAUCGCGUACACGCUGUGUGAGAAGACCAUGAGAUCUCGCUCGUGAAUAACUUGAGGAUGUGCGGUGACUGCCAUCCUUCUGCGAAGAUGAUCUCCAGCGUGGUGAAGAGGAAGAUCACAGUACGUGACAUGCAGAGGCUGCAUGGUUUUGAGAAUGAUGUUUGCUCUUGCGCGGAUACCUGGUAAGUUUUAGUCUAUUGUGGUUCCAGAGGUGGGAAGAUCGUGAUGGAUCUAUUCGUUAAAUCGACCCUGGAGGUGGAAAACGUUUGUGAAUCCUGCUUUUUGGAGUUCAUAUGCCGCUUUCAAUGAUCUGUAAGGAGAGUUUCUUUCUGAGAGGUUUUGACGCGAGAUCGGACGAGAGUACCUCGACUGGCAUCCAAAGAAGCGCUCGGGAUCCUUGAACUUCUUUGCUUUAGGCCCUACGUGAGGAGAGUUCCUCCAAUGCUAAACAGGACGAUUACUUUCUUGUUCUUGUCGCUGUUGACAGCGUCGAGAGCUUUCUCGACGAAUUCUGGGUUGCGCUCUGCCAUGCAAACUCUUUCAGUAUUCUCUAGUUAGAAGCGAAAUUUAACCUGUGCCAGAGAAGUUCGUAAGCAAGGCAAAUCCCAGUCGCCUGCUCAACCAGACCAAAGCAUAAGCAAAAAAUCUUUGAGAAAAAAAGAGAAGUUCCUUGAAUUUGUCGGAACAAGGGAGCAGACUUUGUGGAGAGAAGCUCUUGUUUAUCACUUGCAUGUCUAGUUUGGCAGAAGAGGUUGAGUAUGCAAUAGUAGUGGUGUGAGGCUUUGAGCUUUGCAAAGAGCAAGGAAUUCCAGGAAUAGAUAUGAGGAUUACACAAUAUUCCCUUUAUUUAACGGCAAGACUUUCUAGAGAAUUUUAAAGCUAGCCAUCCUAUAAAUUGAAGGGAAUGGAUAUGCAACCAAAGUGCAAGAAAUUGAUAUUGCUAAAAGGUAUGUAAAAAAUCAAAUUGAGAAACACAAUUUAAAGGAAGUUAUUACACAAUAAAAAAUAAAAAAACUUAAUGAAAACUGGUCCGGUCAUGAAACAAGCUUGUAAUUUUUUAUUAUUUUAUUAUUUUCCAAUAAGGUUGCAAUACGUUUUUCCUCAGUGUUAAAAUUAUGAAAAACUUGUGGAGACCAAAAAUCUAAUAUGCAAUUAAAAAUAAAACUUUUGGUUGGCAUGUUUAAAUUAUCCUAGAAUUAAUACUGUCAUGAUUUUACUUGGACAAUUGUGGAGAUGGGGAUGGCAAUGAUGGUGGAGCUAAAUAGGAUUGUUCGUCCCAUCUGUUAGUAUCAUCACUAUGCCUAAGUGCUAUGGUUGUUUUGCAGAGCUUGGAGAAAGGCUACCUUGUUCUUCAUGGCACAGUUGGCUAUACCCUCAGCAACUUGUAUCUCCAAAUCACAUGGCAAAGCUUUAGUGCAAUUUAGAUCCUAGACAUUGUGCUUCAAGGUAAGGAUUGUUUGCCUAUAGUUUUUUUUUUGUCCCAAGAAUGUAAAGGAUUCUCACAAUUGUUGAGAAGUUAUAUUUAUGAUGAACUUAUGGUUUUAUUUCUUUGGUUUGUGUAAAGAUUUUUAUUAGCUGUUUAGAAAUAUGGUCAAGUCUUGGAUGGAGGUACUAGCAUUGGCAGAGUAAAUGGUCUUGAUGCUUGUCUUUGACAUUGAAGUUAUUAUUUUUCCUAUCUUAGAAGCUUGAAGGUGUUUUUUGACAAAUCUUAUUUAAAUCAUAGGUAACUAAUGUUUUAUUUCUUGUUACUUUCAUUGCUUCAUAUUAUUCAUUGUUUCACAUAUGUUAACUUUUCUGGUAAGGGAAUGCAAUCAAUUACCCACAACAAUGGAAUUUGCAAGGAGCUCAUCAAUCUUUAUUAUUUCUACUAUAAAGAGUUCAUGGUAAGUUGGAUUGGAAUGGAAACUUUCCUUUGAUUUCUUUGUUUUCUUAAGCUGAGUUUAAUUUUUCAUCCAUUCAAGGUAUGAUACUCUUAAUGCUCUCAGCAGCUUUAAGUUGUGACACUAGAGUUAGCUCUAUUUUUCUUCCAAAAAAAGCAUGCAAGACAAACAAAAGCUAAGUAAGAUUUUUUAGAUUUCUCAAAACAACUAACAUUGCACUUUUGCUUUGACAGAAAAAUUCAAUUUCUAUGUGUGAUUGAUUGAUUGAUUGAUUGAUUUUUUAUAAUCUGUGAGGUUUGAGGAAAGAAUAUCACAAUGAUGCUUCCAUGAUGAUCUAAAGGUGAAACAUUCCAAUUAAGUUUUCUUUUGUUGUUGAUUAAGAGCUAAUUUUUUCCUAAAAAUAGGACGAGGAGAGAGCACCUAUAAAGCACAUGUCAGAAUUACUUUAAUAGAUGACUGUCAAGGGUGGUUUGCAUUGGCCACUGCAACUCAAUCGUAAAGUGAGUAAGAUAAUAUAAAUUUUUUUUGCAUAUUUUCUAGGAGGAUUUAAUUGCUUUCCUUGGUGGUGUCUUUAUGGGAAUGAUACACUUAAACAAGGAGCCUUUUAAAGGUUAGAUAAAAAAAACUACUACUGCAGUAAACUUCUAGAAAAAGGUGAUGAAAAAUUGUGCUAUUUGGCAUCACUCAAAGUUUAUCUAAGUAUGCUAUCACUUUUAAUCUUGUGUUUGUCACAUUAAUAUUUGGUAUGUUUGACUAUGGCACUCUAGCAUAGAUCACUAUAUAUGAUUUUCUAAGGGCAGUUCCAACUGUGAUUUAUCAGUUUUAAUGGUCAUAAAUUAGAAUAUCAGUUAUUUACUUAAUUUUUUACUAUAAAUACCAUUUAUGAUGAUAUUUUAAGUUAUUAAAAAACAAUUUCAUCAUAACUAUUAUAAUUGACUUAAAAUUUAUUCAAAAAUAACUUCUAGACUACAUAUUUUUUGUUUUAUAACUGUUUAAAAUAUAUUGCAACUACAAAUGUCAACUUUAAAAAAAAUCUAAUUUUACUUUAAAUCUAGUCACAAAUGAUGGCUACUAAUAACAAUAACAACUGAACAUUUUAAGUUAAAAUUUUAAAACUAAAUGACAAAAAUUUAAAUUAUAUAAUGCAAUAAGUCAGACUUGUGUAGUAGUGGACAUCAAUCAUACCACCAUGUGAAGCAACAUAACUAGGAUUAUGUUGCUGGAGAAAUGAAUAUUAUUGUUGUAGAGAAAGUUUAAAAAUGAAACAAAUAACAUUUCAGGGGGCUAUAGAGGGUUUCAAAAGUAUAAUAGGGAUAGUGAAGUUUAAGAUCAAGUUUUGAAAGAAUUCUAUAAUGGUGCUUCCAAAAUGAAUUGAGGUUAGGACUAAAGGUUAGUAGCCUUAGGUGAGAGUGAGUAUGGAUUUGAGUGGUGUUACAAAAGCCACCCAAGGAAAUACUCAAAAAUAACUUCCACUCUCAAAAGGGAAACUGACAAUGGUACUCCUCACUCAUAUGAAGUAGUGUCCCACUUAAGUACCACAAGGCUUAUUAGUCCCCAGUCCCGUGUAGGGAUUAGGGCUUUCCCAUUAGGACGAAAGUGGGGGAGUAAUCUCCUGAGGGGUUGGGGGAGGGCUGUUGUAGAGGGUUCCAAAAGUAUAAUAGAGAUAGUGAGGUUUAGAACUUAGUUUUGAAAGAACUUUUUAAUGGUGCUUCCAAAUCGAGUUAAAAUUGGGAUUAGGGGUUAAUGGCCUUGGGUGGGUAGAGGAGUUACCCAAGGAAAUGCUCAAAAACAACUUUUACUCUUAAAAGGAAAAUUGACAAUAAUGCUCUUGGCUUAUAUAGAGUAGUGCCCUAUUUAAGUAUUAUGUGGCUUAUUAAUCCUCGUUCCUUCCUAAAAGCUUGGGGAUGGAAAUGAGGGAGUAGGGGUAUUCAUACUAGGCUGUUAAGCCAUAGUAUUUCCCUCUAGGGUCCCGAAGUAAAAAAUGCACCCAAGACUUAGGAUUUAGAGGGUUUUAUAAUCAAAUCUUGUUGUACCAAGGGAUAUUAAGAAUCUAAAGCCUUGGUGUGCUUGGCUAUUUAUGCUUGUGGGGAGUGUAACUGAAUCUUAAAUCCAAUCUAACCCAAAGAGGGGGAUUGGAAAAGAAUUCAGGAAUCUAUAGAUAGAUGGCUAACACCUUGUUACUUGUACAGUGAGUAGUUAAAUCCAAGUAGGAGUUAGUAUAAUAAGUGGAAACUUUGGUAAUGAAACUGAACUAAGGCCAAGGCAGUGGUGGUCGGAUAAAUGAGGUAAACUAGUAAAUUAGAAAGAAAAAAUUUGUGAUUUACAAUUUGGUAUUAGAACCUUUUCCUUAAUUCUAGUGAUAGAUUGUUAGGAAAUGGCUAAGGCAUGGCAUAAGUGGACCAAGGUAGAGAUAAAACCUCCUUUGGAGAUGAAACCUCCAAUUGAACAAGAAACUAUAGAUGAAGAAGACUUUAAUGAGGAAAUUUUCAAAUAAGAGUUUGGUGGUGAGAUUUAGUUAUUCAAGGCUUGAUUGGAUGCUUUGGAAGGACAAUUGGCAUAAACCAAUGCUUUGUUAGAGACCCUCAUACAUGAGCUAAAAUGUAAUGAGAAGUGGAAGAAAAGGCAAAAGAUUGUAAAUGCUAGCAGUGUAGAAGGCAUGGACCUUUUGAUGGGGAUUGAGGCAGAGCUAAACAAGAUCAAAUAAACUGAAGUAGAAUCAAUUCCUCAAGCAGUUCCCAAGUAUAAACCAAAGCCCCCACCCUAGAGUAGUUGGAGUAGAGGGGAUGGGGACAACAGUAGAGGCCAUAAUGGGGAAGGUAACAAAAUAUGUUGGCAAGCAUUCUUUAGUGAUGAGAUAAGUUUUCUCAAUUGAUAGUUACAAAAUUUGCUUACUUUCUUUGUUUAAGAGUGGAGGAAAUCCAGAUUGAGUUAAAAAUCUAGUUAGAUGGGGCCAUACCCAAGAGUAAACAUAACUUGUAAUGAGACUCUUAUAUUUUUUUUUUUUGAGAAGUUGCAGCCAAGGGAAUUCAAUUGGAUGGGGCUAUACCUAAGAGGAAACACAACUUGCAAUAAGACUUUUACAUUUUUUUCUUUUUUAGUAGAAGCUAUGGUUGAGGAAAUUCAGUCAAAUGGGGCUAUGUCCAAGAGUAAGCACAUCUCACAAUAAAAUUCUUAUGUUUUUCUUUUUAAGAGAAGCUAUAGCAAGGAAAUUAGCUAGAAGGGGCCAAUAGUAAGCAUGGCUUAGCAAUAUGACUGUUACAUUUUUCUUCAUUUCAUUUUUUUUUUUUUUGUUUAGAAGUUGUGCAUGAGGAAAUUCAGCUGGAUAUCACUGUGCUUGACAAAACCCCUCUAUUGAAGAGUAAGCUUCAUAUAAUUGCUAGGCAAUAAGAUUCUUACAUUUUUUGUUUAGGAAAGGAAAUCAAUAGCAAAUUCCCACAUAUGGCAGAUAGGUAGUUUUAAAACUAGCUUACUCUUUUUCCUUGUCUAGGAUUUUGGAAUGUCAAUUGUGCAAGAUCCUAGCUUCUUGGCCAGCAAGGCAAAAGUAUUCCAUUUCCAAUUAUUGAGCAUCGGUGAGCUUUUGCUUUUCUAUGAAGUUCUAUCAUCUAAGACAUACUCCUCUGGGGGACCUAACAGAAGGGCUUUAUAUGGCUUGUGCAACUCUUUAGAGUAAUAAUCCCUCCACACCAAGAAGUACCAUUUGCCAACCACCCAUCCGAAAUGUGCAGAUGGCUAAUGUUUCUUCUCUACACAUGCUUGUAGUUAGAAAUGGCAAGGGUAAGCUUUUCUUGUUGGUAUGAGCAUCUACGUGUUGACUCUCUAUCACUACGUGUUUAGGACUCAAUUCCAGUAUAAGGUAUAGAAUGUUUAUUAGAAUCAUAAAUGUUUCAUAUGUAUUUUAUUUGUAGGUUGUUUUGUGGAAGCUGUGUCUCUAUACACCUAGGACUUUUGUAGUCCUCUACCUGGCCUUGUUCAUUGUGCCUAGCAUUGUGAGUUUUUGCUACUCAAUGUACAUUGCUUUGGGAAGUAAAUAAUUUCAACUUUUAAACAUUAUUAAGCAUUUGAUUUUGUUAUUUUUCUUGAAGUCGUGUGGAGUGGAGUGGAUGGUGUUGUAUGGGGGCAGUAUUAUAGUAAUUGUAGCAAUCAAAAGCUUGAGAGUUGUUUAGCUAUUGAACACCACAAGCUUUGGAGCUAGCUAUAUUGUAAUAGCUCUCUUGGGGGCCCAAUACAUAGCUCCAAUUGCACCUUACAAAAAGUAUAACUAGGUGUGUUUUUUACAAUUUUCUUUCAACUUUUUUUAUUUAUAAAAAAGAGUUUUUUUUUCCAGCUUGUAAGGAUAAAUUAAAACCUCUCCCAGUUUUUGGAGACUUGACCAUGAGAGAGGGGGUUGCUUAUUUUCUACUCUUUCAGGUGUUUUUUAUAAUUCCUAUUGUUUUAGCUAUUUGGUUGUAGUUAUGUCUCAUAUUCAUAUCAUGCUUUCAUAUUCAUCUCAUUAACUUCAAAUUUUUCUCACUAAAGUUUGAUUUUAUAGGUGAAGUGCUUUCUUAUUUUAUUUAUUUAUUUAUUUAUUAUUCAAGUUCUACUGAAGGCAGCUGGUAGCCUAAAAUCCCUCCCUUCAUUUCUUUGCAAGAAAAAGGCAUAUUUCUUAGUUUGUGUGUUACCGGCUUAGAAGCAUAAAAAAUCAAAGGCUAUAACUAGGUAUUACUAUAAGGAUACUCAAGACUAGAUGUGGCGGCUAAGUUGGUGAUGGAUUUUCACUCCAUAAACAACCAAGUAAGACCCAUGCUUUUCCUUUCUAUUAGAAUAAAUUUUUGCAAAUGUGUUAGACUAAGCCCCAUAUUUGGGGAACUACUAGGGAAGAAACAAAGGUGCUAUUAAUUUUCAACAUAUACAAUGUUAAAUUUUGCUAAAGUGUUUUUGAAAAUUUAUGGCUUUGUUCUGGCCUCUAGCUCUCGAGAGUUGCAACUCUCAUGAAAAAUAGCCAAAACAAAAGAGAUAGAAAAAAGGAUAGGACUAAAGAAAAUAUAUUUAAGGUUGGCCUUUUCAUCCCAAAAAAAUAUUAUUAAUUUUGAACCAAUUGCCCCAUAAUUCACAACUCACUUAAAUCCAUUUUCUAUAGGAAUUAUCUUAGACUUGUUCUCAAAACAACAAUGUUUUACCAGUUCUCAAGAAGGUGACAAAUGAGUUUCUUAUUUUGCUUCUAGUUCCUCCUAAAUAUCAUUUGUAAGCUCAGAAAAAGGCUAAGCUAGAGGCCAAAUCAUGAUCAAUUGGUUACAAGUUGAAGGAAUAAUCACAAAUGAAUUGGUGGAAGCUAGAUUGAUUCAAUAAAUGUCAUUUACAAGCCAAGAAGGUAACAAUUAUAUCAAGUUUUAAAUACUUGGUUGGAUUCCCCAGAAGAAAUAGGAAAUGAUAAGAAAAAUACAUUGAGUUUGUAACUAUGUGCUUACAAAUGUUAGUGUGCUACUCACAUCAAACAAACACUAAAGUCAAUAUGCUUUUGAAUGUUAGCAUGGCUAGAGACUGUAAGCGACUAAAUUUUCCAUUUUACUUUAGUCACUUAACCACACGUCUGACCACUUGGAGGAGUCUCAUUGACAACUUCCAUAAGUCCAACUCAGGACUUGGGGCUUGCUAACCCCGAGAAUGGCAUCCAUGCCACUCAACCUUAGCACUUGGUCCAAGUGCUCCACGUGUCCGAUCCCAUGAUCGACACCCCAAGGUAUCACCAAUGUACCGGCCUGUUACGCUAAGGCCAUGCUUAUUUACCUUGGUCACACUGGUGGUCCACCACCACUUGCAUCACCGUCUUGGCCCUCCAAGACUAGGCAAACCAUCCGUGAGUGGUCAUCUCAGAUCCACUCCUUAGCAUCCUUAGGAUGCCCACCGACAAGGGGAAUAGCCUUCCCCAAUAUCCCUCUGUCAGUCUCCACUAAGUCCCUUUCUGCCCCUGGCCGUGUUUGCCAACACUGCCACUGGAUCGAGACCCACAGGCCCGACCACUAAGUCCCACGGUCCUCUGGGACUUCCUCACCACACGACUGUGUCCUUGGUCACUACCCCAGAGGACUGCUCCUCUUCCUUUCCACAGUCUGGGCCUUUGGGACAACAUUUCAGAACACCGUGGCCUUAUGCGAGCCACCUGGGUACUCUCCUCGCCUUCUGCCCUUGGGUGCUCUAGCCAUGGGCUUAGAGCGGGUUCCGUUGAGCCACACCAGGUAUCCAAGUAGGUAGUGCCACCCACACUUGGACUGGGAGCAUCGGCCAGUCGAUCUCCCGGGGGAACUAGAGCCGGCUCUUGAACACUUCACCAAGCUACCCCACUUGUCGGUCUGUGUUCACUCUAGUCUUGGACUUCCCAGUGGGCAGCUCAUCACCCAACACUGGGUCUGGCCUUCCUGGGCCAAACUGGCCUUUCCUGGCCAAACUGGCUCCACUGCAGUCCUCCCCCUACUAUACUUUUGGAGCUCACCAAACCCCCCAGGGUCUGGGAGACGAACGCUUUGGGCUUUCACCCUCUCAGGCUCCGGACUCGGACUCGGACUCGGACUCGGACUCGGACUCGGACUCGGACUCGGACUCGGACUCGGGCUCGGACUCGGGCUCGGGCUCGGUCUCGGCCUCGGCCUUGGUCUCGGUCUCGGUCCCGAUCUCGAUCUCGGUCUCGGUCUCGGUCCCGGUCUCGGUCCCGGUCUCGGUCUCGACUUCGGACUCCAUCUCGGACUCCAUCUCGGACUCCAUCUCGGACUCCACCUCGGGUCCAUCUCGGACUCCAUCUCGGACUCCAUCUCGGGUCCAUCUUGGGUCCAUCUCGGACUCCAUCUCGGACUCCAUCUCGGACUCCACCUCGGGUCCAUCUCGGACUCCAUCUCGGGUCCCAUCUCGGACUCCACCUCAGGUCCAUCUCGGGUCCAUCUCGGACUCCAUCUCGGACUCCAUCUCGGGUCCAUCUCGGACUCCAUCUCGGACUCCAUUUCGGUCCAUCUUGGGUCCACCUCGGACUCCAUCUCGGACUCCAUCUCGGGUCCAUCUCGGACUCCACUUCGGACUCCAACUCGGGUCCAUCUCGGGUCCACCUCAGACUCCACUUCGGACUCCAACUCGGGUCCAUCUCGGACUCCACUUCGGACUCCAACUCGGGUCCAUCUCGGACUCCACUUCGGACUCCAACUCGAGUCCAUCUCGGACUCCACUUCGGACUCCAACUCGAGUCCAUCUCGGACACUCCCACGUGUCAUGUGUUGGUCCUUUUGGGUCCCUUUUUGGAGCCUCGCCUUUUGCUCGCUUCGUGCUCGUUCCUUGAGCACUUCGUUGGGAGUUCCACUCCCGCUCUUGACUUUUCAAGUCGGAGCUUUUGGUCCAAACGUGUUACGCUCGUUUGGCUCUCGCUUCGGCCACUACCAUGUGGCGCCCUUCCGGCUCCACUUUGGGGCCUAGGGAUUUUGUGUCUCACAACUCCACCACCCAUAGACGAAGUUCGAUGUCCUCAUCGAACGGUAAACCAUUUCAUAAAGUAACACCCACACGUGUUACCAUUUCCAUCCUUGGCACCUAGCCAAUCUUUGUCUAUGGUUUGACACCAAAGGCUCACCAUGCCUUGUCCAUCCUUUAAGGAGCGUAGUCUCUCCAACUUAGAGACUGAUUGGACCACAUGUAAUGGUUCUCUCCUUUUAUUGGUUUAGUUCUUGCUAAACCUCUUAGAGACCCUUCUCUAAGUCAAUCCCACUACUCCUUCUCGAGUAGUCUCAAUUUCCAUCUAUUGAAUGUUUGCACCUUGGAACUUUUACUCUUUUGACUUUUUGGGCGUCAAUUUCCUAGGUGUCUCCAACACCUUGCAUUGCACAGAUUGUGCAACUCCACUUCCCUAUCCUAGGAAGUUCAUUACUUGAGGGCACCAUAAUCCUCUCUUCUAUUUCGUGCCACCUUGGGCACUAAGUUCCAUUUAUCAUACUUUGUGCUAGGGCUAUCCAUGGCCCUAUCAUUUGGCUACCUUACCGCUCCCUCACUUGGAGCCUUUACUUCGCCAAAUUGGAGCACUUAGGAAUCCAUCCUUGAAAGUCCGCUUCCUUUCCCACAAGCUGUUAGCAUCGAACACAUUAGUGUUCCUUGGCUAACUUUGCCAUUUGGAUCCCUUCCAUUAAAUUCCAUGGCCCAAACUUUGGCCACUAGUCCUUUGCUCCUAUCCUUGAUUGUUGCACCCAGCAACAUCGGAUCGCUACCUCCAUUUUUGAGGUAUCCUUUCGGUUCCAUAGCAAAGACUCUUCUUUGCCAAGUCCGGAGGAUGUUCACCCCUAGUAUGUCUCUUUAGCAUAUUCUGCUAUGGGCUCGAUCCAUGGCCCAACUUUGUGACCCUCCCAUGGGUCUUUUAUAGAGACUACUUUCCUCGGACUCACUAUGCCAUCGGAUGGACAUAGUUUAUUUCCCUUAGGUGCUCUUCCCACUUGGUUAUCACGACCAAGCCACACCACCUUAAACAGUUCAAUUUCAACAUUUUGAACCAGGAACUUCAUUCCUUAGCCAACCAAGGACCUUGUCCUUUUCUGGCCAUAAGAUCACCUAGUGAUCUCACCUUGGCACCCUAACAGAGUUGCCAAGAUGUACUUGGCUUUCUAGACCUCCAAGUUGUUGACUAUAACCCCGGGGGCAUCCCCCACACUUGGCGGUGCACCCAAGCUAGCCCUUAUGGCCAAGGGUUCAUAGCAACUGAGAUUAGGUGUCCCCAUCUCACUCACCACGACCUUGGUGCCACUUGCACCAAAGUGUUCAAGUUAGAUAUGCUGAGCUUUCACACUAAGCAAUCUAACCAUGCAUCACGACUCCGAGGCAUCCCUCGCUUGGCGGUGUGCCCAAACCAGUCUCCCCACUGAGAGUCCAUGACCACCGAAAUAUGAGUGUCCUCAUAUUCCAAACCAUCACCACGCCCUAGUGAUUUGGGACUCGAACCCAAGCACUAGAGGGUCGGGACUUGAACCCAACCUCCGUAUAUGCAUCUACGGACGGCAUCACACUAGAUGCCUGGCGUGACUCCCCACGCCGGUGCACCAACCUAUUUUUAAAGCGCGCUACAGAUCACAGCUUAGGAACCUAGUUCCUCCACACUGCCAAGUCCUCUCACUUGACAUGUCUGUGAUCAUGCAUGGACUCCUCCAUGCUCGGCCCCAUGGCCCACCCUUUUUGAAGUUAUCACCUUCAACUAGGGUAUUUGUUCCCCUGACGUGCCAAUCUCGCUUGGCAAGUCCUCCGACCACUGUAACAUGGUUCCUGCAUAAGCGUGAAAGUCCUUGACCAUUGACUUUCGUUCAAAGCCCUCUCUUUGAACACUCGGGAACUACUUCCCUAACCUUGAUAGCCUUGCCUCAUGGCAAGCUUCAAGACCACGCUUCUGCUGCGCCACUCUGAUUUCGCGCGUUCCAUGAACCAUUUACACUUGGCCUUUCUAGGUACUAAGCAACCUAGAAUCGUCUUUGGGAACCUUGAAGGAACUCUGUCCCUCAGCUUGUUAAGGCCUCCGAUUUUGCAAGCCUUCCAAAUGCCACAUAGUCUAACAUGGACAAUUCCAUAUUUUAGACUCUCCAUGGCAUCACGGUUGCUAGCGGCAACACCCUUGAGCCCCCACUUGAUUCUCCACUCCCAGCUGGCAUAACCAACCUUGGUUAUGCCCUUUGAUUCUUAUGGUUCGGUUCUAUCCCCUUACUUCUUGCUUUUUGGCUUCACACCUUUCCUUUGGUCAUUCUCCUCCAGACCAGGAGGAUAGCUUUGCACUUUCUAUCACGCUUUAGCAAGUAUUCUUAGGGAUGAACCUACCCAAUAGCCUAGGGAGUGGUUCCUCAAUCCGGGUAUGCUCACCUUAUAAUCCCACACACUAGGAUUACAUUGUUGCUUAUGGGCCUUUACAUGCCUAUCACUAGCCUUGCCAAAAUUCCAUUUUUGGCUUUGUCCAACUUGGGUAGACAGUCCUCUCCUGUCUCCGCAACCUUGGACAUUUGGAUAGCACCUUCUAUCCAUCAUUCGCUAGGGACUUAGUCCCUUGGGCUUUAUCCAUUGCCCUCGCGACAUCAAACACCACCUUCUGGUGUUCUAGAGUGUUCGGGUGUCCCAAUGAUGGCUUUCUUAACAAUGAGUAUUUCCUUUUAUGACAUUGACUUACUAUAUUGCAACAUAAGCAACUUAUCCCCCGUAAGGGUAUAUCCGACUUCCCUAUACUAAAAGUCUUGGGUAGCUACCUUCUACCCGUUUAACCAGUUAUUUUGCACCUCUUGCUUAGUUGCCUCAUAGUUGUCAAGUCCUACAACUCAUUGCUUGGUGCUUUCACACCUCCAUCACUAUCUGGGUCACCACACUCCAACUGCAUGCUCUGCAGCUUAGGCUAUGCCAUUCCCAUUUCCAUUGGGAUUCCUUUGGCAAGGGGUUCUCAUGAACCCACCAACAUAGCCUCAAGGUAUCACACCUUGACACAUUUGGUGUCUCCACACCAUCGGCUCCACGAGCCUACCUCUAUGACACUUUCCCUUCGUAUCUAAGUCUUUGCCAAGACCAACACCGCCCUUUCUCAUGCCAACCAUCUGUUAGCAUUGCACCAUAGAGGUCACACACAACUUUGUGUCAAAGUUGUUUUCUGCUGGGAACACCUUUCCCAUAACUUUAGCAUGGCAUAUUUUGCCAUCGAUGAGAUACCCUCUGUUCUCAUCCUUGGAUCCUAUGAUCCCCCCCCAUCCUUUGUGGGGUACAACACACCUCAGUCCAAAUGCUUCCAUCGGUCCUUUUAGGACCAUCCGUUGACUCUGCUUGAGUCAUCCAGCAGUUUUGGACUUGGUUAAUCCACAGACCCGUAAGGUCCUACUUGUGAGGCACUAGCUCACUGGAAUACACUUCUUGCAUUCCUGUCCUACUCAAAAGGACUAUUUUCACAAGUGUUACUCCGACACUUGAUUUUGUUCUCUGGGGGCAACCUUUGCCCCUUAGGACUACUUGUCCAUGUGAUGAGAACACCAACUCAUCCACUUAAUACACCCCCAACUCCUUGGGUUGUUCCAGCAUUUAUUAGAGGUAGCCCCGGCUACCUUUUCGAGGACUUGAGUCCUCUUCCGUAUUUGACCUCCCACGGUCAUUACUUCUGGUCUCGCUUUCAUGAGCACCAACCUCAACUAUGUGAGGAAAAUCUUGUGACUCCUUUAUUGCUUUGGAGUCUUUAUCUUUCCUGUGAUCCCAACUGUAGUUGUUUACCACAACUACAUUAGCCAGUUUGUUAAGUCAAACGCUCAUCUGGAUCACAUCCUCAACUCUUUGAGGAAAACCAUAUACUGUUCCCAAGAUCCCAAAGUCGUUCCAUUAUUGGCCCUUUUCUAUCCACCACCUCGUCUACAAGUUCACACAUGAACUGUAAUGGAGAGCCAUGUCUUCCCGACUUGCUACUCCUCAAGGAUAGGCCCACUCCUCGGACCUUCCGAUGCCAACACUAGUGGUGAUAUACUUGAGCACCAAUAAAAGUCGGACUAAGGAACAGCUCCGAUACCAAGUUGUAAGCGACUAAAUUUUCCAUUUUACUUUAGUCACUUAACCACACGUCUGACCACUUGGAGGAGUCUCAUUGACAACUUCCAUAAGUCCAACUCAGGACUUGGGGCUUGCUAACCCCGAGAAUGGCAUCCAUGCCACUCAACCUUAGCACUUGGUCCAAGUGCUCCACGUGUCCGAUCCCAUGAUCGACACCCCAAGGUAUCACCAAUGUACCGGCCUGUUACGCUAAGGCCAUGCUUAUUUACCUUGGUCACACUGGUGGUCCACCACCACUUGCAUCACCGUCUUGGCCCUCCAAGACUAGGCAAACCAUCCGUGAGUGGUCAUCUCAGAUCCACUCCUUAGCAUCCUUAGGAUGCCCACCGACAAGGGGAAUAGCCUUCCCCAAUAUCCCUCUGUCAGUCUCCACUAAGUCCCUUUCUGCCCCUGGCCGUGUUUGCCAACACUGCCACUGGAUCGAGACCCACAGGCCCGACCACUAAGUCCCACGGUCCUCUGGGACUUCCUCACCACACGACUGUGUCCUUGGUCACUACCCCAGAGGACUGCUCCUCUUCCUUUCCACAAUCUGGGCCUUUGGGACAACAUUUCAGAACACCGUGGCCUUAUGCGAGCCACCUGGGUACUCUCCUCGCCUUCUGCCCUUGGGUGCUCUAGCCAUGGGCUUAGAGCGGGUUCCGUUGAGCCACACCAGGUAUCCAAGUAGGUAGUGCCACCCACACUUGGACUGGGAGCAUCGGCCAGUCGAUCUCCCGGGGGAACUAGAGCCGGCUCUUGAACACUUCACCAAGCUACCCCGCUUGUCGGUCUGUGUUCACUCUAGUCUUGGACUUCCCAGUGGGCAGCUCAUCACCCAACACUGGGUCUGGCCUUCCUGGGCCAAACUGGCCUUUCCUGGCCAAACUGGCUCCACUGCAGUCCUCCCCCUACUAUACUUUUGGAGCUCACCAAACCCCCCAGGGUCUGGGAGACGAACGCUUUGGGCUUUCACCCUCUCAGGCUCCGGACUCGGACUCGGACUCGGACUCGGACUCGGACUCGGACUCGGACUCGGACUCGGACUCGGGCUCGGACUCGGGCUCGGGCUCGGUCUCGGCCUCGGCCUUGGUCUCGGUCUCGGUCCCGAUCUCGAUCUCGGUCUCGGUCUCGGUCCCGGUCUCGGUCCCGGUCUCGGUCUCGACUUCGGACUCCAUCUCGGACUCCAUCUCGGACUCCAUCUCGGACUCCACCUCGGGUCCAUCUCGGACUCCAUCUCGGACUCCAUCUCGGGUCCAUCUUGGGUCCAUCUCGGACUCCAUCUCGGACUCCAUCUCGGACUCCACCUCGGGUCCAUCUCGGACUCCAUCUCGGGUCCCAUCUCGGACUCCACCUCAGGUCCAUCUCGGGUCCAUCUCGGACUCCAUCUCGGACUCCAUCUCGGGUCCAUCUCGGACUCCAUCUCGGACUCCAUUUCGGUCCAUCUUGGGUCCACCUCGGACUCCAUCUCGGACUCCAUCUCGGGUCCAUCUCGGACUCCACUUCGGACUCCAACUCGGGUCCAUCUCGGGUCCACCUCAGACUCCACUUCGGACUCCAACUCGGGUCCAUCUCGGACUCCACUUCGGACUCCAACUCGGGUCCAUCUCGGACUCCACUUCGGACUCCAACUCGAGUCCAUCUCGGACUCCACUUCGGACUCCAACUCGAGUCCAUCUCGGACACUCCCACGUGUCAUGUGUUGGUCCUUUUGGGUCCCUUUUUGGAGCCUCGCCUUUUGCUCGCUUCGUGCUCGUUCCUUGAGCACUUCGUUGGGAGUUCCACUCCCGCUCUUGACUUUUCAAGUCGGAGCUUUUGGUCCAAACGUGUUACGCUCGUUUGGCUCUCGCUUCGGCCACUACCAUGUGGCGCCCUUCCGGCUCCACUUUGGGGCCUAGGGAUUUUGUGUCUCACAGAGACAAGCUUCCAAAAGUUAAAGUGCCAUUACUACAUUCUUGUAAGCUCUAGGUAAUCAAACCAUGCCUAUUAAAGUUGAAUGCACCUAAAAUAUAUGUUAGUCAGGCAUCAAGAUUCAGGAGUGGAGAAGGCCACAAAGAGCACCUCCACUAACAAGUGUUGUUUUAUUGGACACUAUGGCAUAUAUACAUUAGAGUUGGAUGGUUUUAUUCUUGUGGAUUUCAUUUAUUUAUGAAGAUUGGAAAGUUUCUUCUAUGGUAUAUUUGUUUCUAUUUAAUCUUAGUGAAACUAGGAUUCCUUUCUACCUUCUUCUAUAUUUGAGCAUAUGCUAGAAAUGCAACUCAAAUAACCACUCCAAACAAAAUGCCAGAAAUUGUAAGAUACCUUUUCCCAAGGAUAAGGUUUAUCAUAUGAAAUUGUUGUGUUUAAUCCUAAUUAUCCUCAGUAAGAAUGAAAAAACUCUAAUAUUAUAAAGUUUCUAUUGAGCAAGAAGCCCUUUACACAAACUAUUCGUGGAUAAUGGUGUUACAUUUAUAACUAAGGCAUUUCAUAUUUUAACAUUUUGGUUGAGGUUAUGCCACACUUUUAAGAGUGUUUAUCAUCCACAAAUGGAUGGUUUGGUGAAAUAACUUAUUCAAACCUUCAAAGGAAUGAUCACAAAGUACAAAGCAUUCAAAUUAAAAUGGUUAUUUACCAUAUUUUUGGUAUAUAUAUGUCAUAAGUGUGCAAAAUUCUAUUAGUGCUUCACCAUAUAAAUUUUUAUAUAGUCAUGAUCCAAUGGAGUUGUGUUUACUUUCACAAUUGCCAUAAGUUGCUAAUGCUAGGUCGUAGAAUUAGUAUUUGAUGAGUAUUUUUCCAUUAAUUUAAGUAAAAGUUACUAACCACUUAGGCUAUGUACAACUAAAACAACAACAACAACCAUUUUGGAUAGGAAUGCUAAAAUACCACUUAACUAAAGAGGAAGUAUCUAACAACAAUUGUAGAUACACUAAUAAAAGCAUAUCAACCUAACAAGUUAAGUAGUCAGAAAUAAUAAUGAUAUACUCAUUGCUAAAAGUUGACUAUAGAAAAGACCCUAUCAAAUCAAAGAUCAAGUCUAAGACUAAAUCCACAUACUAAUACAAGUUGUGGGGUGAAACAUUUGGAUCACUUGGACCUUCUCAAGGUGCACCUUAAACCCAUCUUUGCCCACCACAUACUUUAGAAACUUUACCUCUUAUUAAGUAAAGUUAUAUUUACUCUCUUUGUGUUCUUUUAGUUUCUCAAACAACUUUAUUAAGUGUUUAGUAUAUUCCUUUAGCAUCUCACUAUAGAUCAAAAUGUCGUUAAUAUAGACAACCACAAAGUGAUCUAGAUAGGGUAUAAAAAUAUGGUUCAUUAAUGUUAAAAAUGUUGCUAGUGUAUUGCACAACCCAAAGAGCAUCAUUAGAAACUCAAAGCUUCUAUACUUUAUCUAACAAGUUGUCUUCUUGACAUUUUCCUCUGCUACUCUGAUUUGAUAGUAUCUUGAGAUCAAUUCUCAGUAAGUAUUUCACAUUUGUUAGCCUAUUGAACAAGUCCUCAAUCUUUGGUAAAAGGUAUUUGUUCUUCCUUAUAUACUUGUUAAGUAACCGGUAGUUUAUGCACAUGUAUAUAGAGUUAUCUUUCUUUUUCACAAAUAACACCGGCACUGCAUAUAAUGACUUGCUCAGCCUAAUAUACCCUUUAUCCACCAACUCCUCAAAUUAGCACUUGAGCUUUUUGAGUUUUUUUUUUUGUUUAACCAAUAAGAGGGGUAAACUACUACUUUAGCACCCUUAACCAACUCGAUUUUAUAUUCUUUCAGUCAGAUAGAGGGUAACCCCGCUAGUAAUUCCUUUGGCAUGGUAUUUUAAAUUAGUGUAACAUCUACUAAAUCACUAAAGGUACUUCCUUUAUUCCUGUCUUUUUAUCACUCCUUAUUGAAAGUAAGCAUAUUGUUUUGGUUCCUUUAGUGAGUUAUCUUUUCAUAGAUAUUAAGUUUAAGCAAAAGUCUUUAACCUUACAUAGCCUUACCUUUAAAUCUUGGGCCUUCACCAUUAUUCUUCUCAAGCAUUCGUUAGUACCACCAGGUUCCUACUUUAUCCAUGCAAGGCUACCACAAACUAAUAGAACCAAUCCAUCAAAAAGAUCAUGUCAAAUCCUAUUAUGUUCAAAAUAGUGAAAUUUAUAUCCACUUUCCAUGUCUUUAAUUUAACUCUUGCUUAUCAAAGUACCUCAUUAGUGUUUUGGCUACCUUAAACAAAUUUUAUAGUCCUUGGUUCACCCAAUUGCUACACUAUUAAUUUGACUUACUAUAUGUUUACAACCAUAAAAUUAUCCAAAACACAUGAGUCAAUAAAGAUCUUAACAAUGAUACUUUUGAGCUUCCCUUAAAGGGUUAGUAGAUGUUGCAAAUGACUCUCUACUAAAGUUGUUUAUGUAAUAAAUAACUUUGAGCUAGGGAUUGGAUCAUGUACCUCAAUUUAAACUUUACUUAACUUAAUGGCCAUAUUGACUUUGGCCUUCUUUAGGUAGGGAUAUUGUUUUAAUAAGUGUCCUGUUUCACCACAAUUGUAGCAUACAUUGUUUUUCACGCUAUUAACAAAUUUAGUUUUCUUAUCAAUGAGUUUGUCCCUUUUUGCUUGACUCCCCCACAUACUUGCUCUUUGGCUACUAAAUUUGCUUUUCCGAAACCCUAAGAACUCAUUUUUAGAUAAACUCUUUCUAAAUUUCUCCCUUUUGGUUUGACUCCUUUGCUAAACAUUAUUGUGUUCUUUUUUUGCAAGUUAUCAUUGAAAUGCACUUUAAUAACUACAUCUAAUAUUCUUUGUAGUUAUUUGAGUUCCAAUGCAUCACCUCGCCUCUAAGCCCAGAUUUGUAAGCCUGAUAUGAAGGCAUGGAACAUGCCUAUAUCACCUAUAUUUGUAACAAAAAUCCUUUUGGCAAUAAAUACAUUCAUAUAUUAUUAAAUGGUUUUUGACUACUUUAGCCAACUCAACUCAUCCUUUAAAUACAAAAUAGCAUUUAAAAGAAUAUAAGGUGCAUAAAUCCUUAUUUUCAUCAUUUCUCAAGUGACCACCACUCCUUCGUUAGCUUUUAUUGUUCUCCAAAACUUAACAUUAUUUGUUAAGUAUAGUUUUGCAUAUAAAACAUUUUCCAAGCUCGAUAACCACAACAUUUAAAAUUAAUUUUCCAUAUCAUAAAACCAAUCCUUUUGUCACCCCCAUUACUCACCAUGGCAUUAGGGUUCUUCAGCUUCUUGUUUAUUAACCAUACCAUUGACUCAUAUGCCACAUAUCCUCUAGCACAAUCAGUAAAAUGGAAAGAUUGCUACAAUGGUUAAUCCAUCUGACUGAAAUCCCUUAGAGCUCCUUGCAUAGCAAUCACCCGAGGCAAGCUUACAUCUUCUUCAGGGGAAGAAAGCUUUCCACUCUGUGAAGUUCAGAUCAAGCCUCCUCCAAUUCACCUGACAGACAGGAAAUUAGAGUCUCAGAAACGAGAGUUUAUCAUUAUCCUUGUCAUGCCAUCCCCAGGAAUUUGUUCUUCCACGUACUUGAUCAUGAUCCUGGAGCUUAAACCAUGUCUCUGCCCAAAUGGUGUCAUUUCGUGCGGACAGAUUUAACGGAGUCAAAGGCAGCAGCGUGGCCUCUUGUUUCCUGAGAGCUGGAAUUACUGGACGAGUGCAUUUGCCAGAUCUUUGGAUCCCAAACCUUGUUCGCUACAAGGUUGUAUGCGAAGCCUGAAGGACAGGCCUGGUGUGUGGCUAUCUUGUCCCCAACUCCCUGACUCCCCGUUACUGGGUUGGGAAUCUGAUCACCGGGAAUGGUGUCUCCUCCCCAACCUUCCGGUGGACGAGGUCACAAGGAAAGAGGGGAAGCUGCUUGUCCAUGCAUGUUAGAUGAUCUACUUUAGCAGCGUCGAUGAUUCCCCGACCUCGGCCAAUUGCUUGGAUCCGAGGUCAAUCUGGAAUCUCAGGUUGUUGUCCAACUCCAGAGCUGCUGUUGGGAUUCAAACACUUCAGAAAAAAUUUCAAGUGACAUUUCCUGAUUCCUGCUACAAUCGUUUUAGGCUGACCAUCUGUCAAACGCUGCUGGCAAGAAGAGGCACCUGUGAAGCUGGUGGGGUUUCCUUGUACCGUCAUAGCAACCGUCACGUAAAGAAGAUCAACCUGAUCAUCGCCUCUCAGUCGAUGCAAACAUACUAGAUCCGACCCACAUCUGCAGCGGGAUCAUCAAUGCUCUUCUCGCUUGUAAACUCGCAGCGCUGCCACUCCAUACUGAGCGAAUUGAAAAGCCAGUUGCUCGAAUUGGAGCAUUCCAACCGCCUCGUUGCAACUUGAUUGCGAUCCACCCUGUGAAAAGAACAAAACAGACCAUUUCUAGGAUAAGAAAUUCGAUGGCAGUUUCCAAGUUCUGUGCAUCGUCUGUGCUUUAAUACCCAGCAGAAACAUUCAAGCUUGUCAAUCCAACUUGUCCUUGACUACCAUAUUAUUAUUAUAGCCACAAAAGAUUUAAAUUUAAUGUAAUUUUACAGUUCCAGCAUGACCAAAUACAAAUACUACCUUUAAGGGAUUGGAAAUGAUCAGAAGAAACUCAAACGAUUGGAAGUGAAUGUCGUCUAGAGUGAGACUACAUCAUUUGCUCCAGCUUGUCUUGUAGAAGAAACUUCUAGGGACCAAGCAAGGCCUGUCCAAGUCAACAAAUAAAUAUGUUUUUGAGAACUCCUAGCUUUGUCCCGGACCCUACGGCCGAGGUGAAAGCUCUCAAGACCAAAAGUUUCAACCAUGGCUCUGCCUGGAAGAACUCAAACUGUGAGAUUGUACAUAGCUUUCACAAAGGGUGUUUUAAAGGUGGGCGAAGCAAACUCAGGAGACAACUCAGUGACCAUAUAGAGGUGGAUAGGGAGGAACACCAAGGAGAGGAAGAGAGAACACCUGAGCCCUGUUUGAUUCUGUCAGUUGGAUGCUUCCACCCCGGGAGCAAAAUAUUUGCUCAUGCUCUUGUGUCUUUCUUCUCAAACUCCAAGUGGAUUCUCCUUUGAUCCGCACACCACACCCCAUUGAUAGUAUAGCCCAUUUGCAUCCUCAUCUUCCAGACGUGAAAUCUGGCACUGCUGAAUCGCUCCACCCUUGCUCAUUUUGCAUCAGGGGAAAUCUUUCCCUCAGGAACUUCGAUCUGGGAGGAUUUUGAGUUGUCAGCAACGUGUCCACGCUGGAUUUCUCCCUGUGAAGAAGGAUAAGGUAUAUGUAUAUAUACAGUGACAUGGGCAUGUUGUCUUAUAUGAGAAUUGGUGCCCCACCAGAUAUCUAUCUAUUUAUCGUUGUGCCCAUUAAUAAAAGAAGCAUGAGAAAACAAGUUUGUUGUGGGGUCUUCUCACUCCCUCAUGUCCAUGCCCUCUAUGGUCCUCGGUCCUCUCCUCCUUUUCUCACUUCCCUUGCAUCCACCAGCUUUGUGCCCCCAGGCCUCACUUUUGCUCUUUUCUACCUCAGUAGGAAACAAGAGAUUGAUGGAUGCAAAAACACUAUUUAAUGUUUUGAAUACAGAUGUUAACUUUAUUUUAUAGAUAUUAUUAGGUUUUAUAAUAGAUUGAUGAAUCGCUUCAUUGCAAGGCAGGUUACCAUUUUGGAACGUUUUCAAGGUAAAGCUAUGCUCAAGGUCGUCGAAUCUUACUUUUGGAGAAUUGCAAAGCAGGUGAGGAAGAAGAUGGAUGCGAGAUGCUAGCAGUUUCUUGAUAGUUGAGAUUGUUGUGGGUGGUAGGAGUAAUGAAAAGAAAAAGAAGUGAAUAGAAGAUAUGAAUUACAAUAUAAAAAAAUAGUUAAAAUGGAUAAUGCAUUAUCAGAUGAAAAAGUAAAAGCUAAACCUAGUAUAUGAACCACAGCCAAUAUAAAUUUUGUUAUUAUUAUUAAUUAACAUAUUAAUUCUAGAAUCUAUGUCACCAUGGAAAAGUAUUCUUCAAUUCCUAAUGACUGUUUCUAAUACAUUUAGAUAUGUAUCAAAACAUAACUCAUGGACACUUUCCCUCUAUUCAUGGGCCCUACUUUUUAUAUUUGAACUUUAAUAAUUUUUUUCUCAAAUGUUCCCUUUUGUUUUGCUUACAUUAAUAAAGAAGAUGAUCUUGCAUUUUUUAUUGUGGGGAAUUACAAAAUAAUGGAACACUUUCAAAAUGGAUUUAAAAAAAAUAAGUUUUCUAAAUAAUUAUAGUUUUAAUUUAUUUUAUAAUAUUAUUCAAGCCCUCCAACUUGCAGAGAACAACUCCAUCAACUACAAGUUUAUAAUUCUUGAAGUAAGCAUGUAAAUUAAUAAGAAAUAAUUCAAUAGAUAUUUGAAAGACAUAUUUUACAAUAGGAUGUCAUUAGAGACACAAUUGCUGACAACAAGAAAAAAUAGAAUCUACUACUAUAAGGAGAAAAUGCCGAACUUUGUGGGCCACCAGAUCUAGCCAAUCGAGGCUGUCCGAUGGGGGGGUAACUGAAAAAGGGUUAUUUCUUUAACCAUGUGUUAGCAAAUAAUCGCGCUGAUGUUUGCUCCCGCCCAAUGGGAGGCGGCCAAGCCAUGUGUGGCAAGAGAGGAAGGCCCAGCGACACGUGUCAAGUGAAUUGGUUUUGUUUUGUAUGUUUCUAGGGUUUAUGAGACGGCAAGAGAGCCCCUUCCACUGCUGCCAAUUCGCGAUCCAAAUCGGAGGCGCUGUGUCAACACUGGUGUCUUUGCUCUUGAGAACCCCAUUGCAAGUUGUAAUUUGUCAUUCUUCUUUCAUAACUUUGGCAUUCUCAUACACGAUGUGUCUCCACUUUUGGCUCUUCAUUGCGUUAAUGUGAGGAGUUCCAUCAAAUCAAGGUAUUUGUGGUGCAUAGAAUUUGUAUGAUCUUCAUUCUUACUCCACUGUCAGGAAAUGGGACGAGGCGAUUUAAGCUCUUAAACACUUUGAAGCACAUUCACUCGGCACAACCUUGCUCACCUGGACGUGAAGCCUGACAACAUCUACAUCUGCAAUCGCAUCUAUAAGAUUCGCUCCGAGACCGUGCUGCCGAGGUAGAGGCUGUGGAGGCUGUGACAACCACAAAGUUACUACUGCUCGACAAGCAAGACAGGAAGCUAAACAGCACCACUUCCACAACCAACCUCAAUGGAGUUCACGUUAGCUUGGACUCCCCCGAGGUUCCUGGAACUCCACAAAUCAUGAAGCAUAACAACAGUGGCGGUAGCAGUAGUGGCAGCUGGGAUGAAUGAAGCCGUGCUAACACUAGAAGGUUGGAUUUUUUUUUGUUUGGAUCUUCUCUGGCACUAAGUUUUUGAAAUGAUCGAGCAGAUAUGCAGCAGUUCCAGUCGAGCAAUCCCUUCGGAUUCAUCAUAGACAUGCUGGAGGGUGAAGGUGGCGAUGAGAGUGAAGCUCUUCAUCCACUUCCCAAUGAUGCUUAUGUCACAGUCAUAUGAUAGAACUUGAUUACUCACUUAUUAUGCUUAUCGUUUGUCCACAAGAUAUUCAACAUUAUCAACCUCUACAGUUACAUAUGACCAAAUCUUAUAUGCUGGAAAACUCACCCAACAAUAUAUUGUAGAUGCAUAUGUUAAAAUUGAAAGCAACAAUUUACAAUACUAUAGAUCUAAUCAAAAAAAUAUGAGAUUUGAUUUUUAUACAGGUUUGAUGGAUUAUGUUGCUGGCAAAGCUGCUGAUGCAAAUGCUCGACCAGGAAAAAUUGUUAUUUUACCUUCUACUUUUACAAAAAGCCCAAGAGCUAUGCAACAAAAUUACUAAGAUGCUAUGAACAAAAUACUCAAAACCUGAUAUUUUCAUAACUUUUACUUGCAACCCUAAAUGACCUGAGAUAUUACAAAAUCUGCACCCUAAUGAAGGACUUGAAGAUCGACUUCAUUUAGUUGCUAGGGUUUUUAACAUGAAGCUAAAAUAUUUUCUCCAUGAUAUUAUACAAAAUAAUAUCUUUGAAAGAUGUAUUGCAUUUAUAUAUAUCAUUGAGUUCCAAAAAAGAGGUUUACCACAUUGUCAUUUCACCAUUAUAUUAGAAACUUGAAUGCUGAACAAUUAGCUAUAUUCAAUGAAAUUGUUAAUAUUGUUGAGUGCCCGAUUGAUACCAACCAUUUUAUUUUUAUUGAUGGCCCUGGUGGUACUAGCAAAACAUAUUUAUUAAAUAUAAUAAUAAAAUAUUUUGAGUUCUACAAUAAAAAAAGUGGUUUGUAUGGCAUGGACGGGCAUUGCAAACACACUACUACACAAUGGACAAACAUCCUAUACAACCUUUAAGUUACCAGUUCCAAUUAAUGAUACAUCAAUUUCUAAUUUAACACCUAAUAACAAUGCCAGUAGAUCUAUGAAAGCAAUACAAGUGCUUAUUUGGGAUGAAAUUAGUAUACACUCACAUUUUCAGCUGUCAACCGUUGUCUACGAGACUUGAAACAAAAUAAUUCUCUAUUCGGUGGCAUUGUUAUUGUUACAAAUGGUGACUUCCAUCAAACAUUACCAAUUAUCCCAUACAGUUAUUGAGCAUAGAUUGUUUCCAUAUCUGUAAGAAUGAAUAGUCUAUGGAAUCUAUUUAGAAAGUUUCAAUUGCAAGCAAGAAGCCCCAAGUUCCCAGACUAGGCAGAAUGGCUAUUGAAAGUUGGUGAUGGAAAUAAUUACACACAAAACCCUAUUUUACCACUUGAUUCUAUCUUUCUUCCUUCAGAACUAAUUAAAAAUACCUCUAUUACUGAUUUCAUAUUGCCAUGUAUCGAAGAUAUUUCAAAUGUUCAAAUUGCAGUAAAUAGAGCCAUUUUAACACCUCUCAAUGAUGAUAUAUUUCCAAUUAACAACAACAUCAUCUCUCAAUUACUAAGUCCACCUCAAAUUUAUAUUAGUAUUGAUGUUGAACAUUUUGAAGAUUUCCUAAUUGAAUUUCUAAACUUUAUCACUCCCUUUGGACUACUACCACACAAAUUGAUACUAAAAGAAGGUUGUAUAGUUAUUCUUCUAAGAAAUAUGUCUCCAACAAUUGGAUUAUGCAAUGGAACUUAACUAAUGGUCAAAAGAACUUCACCUAAAGUUUUAGACUGUGAAAUAAUUACAGGUGAAUUUAAAGGUACUAGAACUUUUAUCCCACAGAUUAACUUAACACCCUCUGAUUCAAAUGUUCCAUUCCAUAUGUCUCGAAAACAAUUUCCUCUUCGUCUUGGAUAUUACUUAACAAUUUCAAAAUGCCAAGGUCAAACAUUUGGUCAUGUAGGCAUCUACUUACCCUAGCCAGUCUUUAUCCAUGGGUAGCUCUAUGUUGCAUUUUCAAGAUGCAUAUCACCACAACAACUUGUAAUUUGAGUUGACACAACUCAUACACAAAGCCGUUUAAUUCCAUUCAAUUCAUCAAUAUUCACCAUCAAUACUGUAUAUAAAGAAGUUUUAUAUUAACUAACUCCUAUCCUACUACACUUUAAAACAUAAAAACAAACUAUAAUAAACUUUAUUUAUUUUUUAACUUUCCCUAUAGGCAAUGGACCAGUGCUAAAAAUGAAGGAAUCAUCUCACAAAGAAAUUGUGAGAUGUGAGAAAAUUCUGUCACAAAGAUAUGUUAGUAAGCUUGAGAGGCUUUGGCAACUACCCAGCAUUGCUACUAGUAUAGAAAUAUGCAUAUUCCAAAACCAUAGGUUAUAUACAAACAUAAGUGGUCUAUAUUAAAACCAACCAAUUUCAAUUAUUCCCUCUUCAAAAUGCCAUAUUUAAAUUACUGUUUACUUCAACUUGUGAUGGCACCAAGGCAUGCCAUGCAGGACUGGUACUGGUUUGAGGUGACGGAGUGCCACAUUGUGGUGGGCACAUCUAAUGGCGCUAAGGCAUGCCAUGUAGGACCAGUUAAAUUGCUGUUAGAGGUACCACGCAGAAGGCAGCCCUAGUUAUCUGGCCGGGGGGCAUGAGAAGGUGAUGGAGGUGGACAUGGAGGCUGUGUGUGCUCAAGGCGAGGGGAAUACGAUGAGAAAGCGGGUCAAGAUGACAAUGCACCUUUAUCAUGGCCCAAACAACAUUCGAGUUGUUCACACAAAGGAAGAAAGCGGGGACAUACAUGAUAACGAAGAAAGCUGGGCCGUUGUUUCGGGGAUGUUCAACAGCAAAGUUAAUUGUGGUGUGAUGUGCAAAUUUAUGUCUAAUUUGUUUCACAUUAGGUGUUCAGUGGUCCUUGGUGAGUGGGGCUCCUAUAGCAAUUGUCAGUGCAUGCGAUCACUUAGCUGUCAAAGGUCUUCUAAGAGUUCUUUUCACAGUCAGGAGAGGUAAAAUUGAUUUAUUUUUUACUUUAUUACUCAGGACUCUUGCUGUGCUUUAUCAGUUUCAGAUUGCUAGUCCAAGAUGCAAACGCUUAUGUUAUAAUAAUAUUUGUUUUCUACUUAUUUUUUCUAAUAAUUGUUAGGUGCCUACUACCAUAAAGCGUGCUCGAUCCUUCAUCUCUAUAAGAAUAAUCCACCAUGCUUCUUCAAAUGGCUGAAGAGUUCGCCAAUUCAAACGGCCCUUCUGGGAAUUUUUAUUUUAUUUUUUUCCUCCCUUCUUGCCAUCCAGGCCUGCGAGGCAUCAAAGAAGAGAUGCAUGGAGAAAUGGAGGCCGAUCAAAAAUUAUUAUAUAGAGCACGUUUGAAAAAUAAAUCUGGCGUGAGCAUGAAGGCCGUCUUAUAGUUAUACUUGCUGCAGUUACUCCAUAAAUUAUUCUUGAAGAAGAAGGCCAUCGGUGGCGAGAGUGAUAACAUACUUGGUCGCAUAACAACGGAAUGCUUGACAACAAAAUACUCAAACUCAACAGAGCCAUUCUUCACCAAGUCACCCAUGUAAACCUCACUCAAAAGUUUCCAAUCUGAUGUCUCCCUGUUGAGUUCCCAUGCAGCAGCAGACACCUUAUAACCACCACUUAUAGUCGACGAAACAAGAAUCCACCUCCCAUUGUAAUCUACAAUACAAGGCAGGCCACAAGAGAAAAGAGUGCUUGGAAACUUCACCUUGGCCCUGUCAUAGCAACCUGAAACCUGAUCAAACACAGCCACGUAAAGAAGAUCAACUCGACCACCAGUGAUCUUUAGCGAAUGUCUGUUAGGUAAUGCAAACAUACUAGAUCCGAGCCAUAGUCCCUUGUCAUCCACACCGAGAUCAUCAAUGCUCUUCUUGCUUGUAAACUGGCAGCGCCGCCACUCCCUACUGAUCAAAUUCUGCAGGGAGAAACACCAGGACCUUGAAGUACCCUGUGCAUGGAUCCACAAGCACCUCUUUCCUUGUGACCUCGUUCACUGGGAGCUCGGGGAGGAGUUCCCAGUGAUCGGAUUCCCAACCAUGUAAUAGGGAGUGGUGUCUCUGGAGAUUCACAAAAUAGCCACACACAAGGCCGCAGGAGUCGGCAAAUAUCCUAAACCUGCAACGUCCUCUAUUCUUCAAAAUGGCGAGCCCUGUGGGGAGAAUUACUAGUGGCCAAGAUACGACAGGGAACGGAACUAUUGCCUACAAACCAUGACUCAUGCAACCGCGGCAAGCUUCUCCAGCGAGUUCGAUGAGUGACUUCCAGCGCUUGCAUACAACCUUGCAGCGGACAAGGUCUGGAAUGGGGAGCCACGCCAAGAUCCGGCAAACGCACUCGUCAGGUAGCUCGUCACACUCGAAACUCUCAGGAAACAAAAAGGCGAGGCAAACGCGCAGCCCAGCCACGAAGCAAAAAAAAAAGGCUUUUCCCUUUCCUCGUUAAAUAGAAACAGUAUGGCUUAGGCCUUAUCAACUUAAUAUUAAUAAAAAGUAUAUGUUAAUGUAAUUGGUUGGAUUUAUGUAGUUGUUUCUGCUUAGAGAGUACCUGCUUGCACAUGAGGUGUUUUUUUUUUGUUAGCUGAUUGUUGUACAAACCAAAGUGAUUCUCCGGAUCAGAUUCAGCCCAAAGAGCAGUAGUAUAACCUUCAAUCGUAAAAGGUUUUAUGCGACUGUAAAGCGCUGACGUCAGGUUCGACCCUUUAGAGAGAGCUUUAAUGAAACAGGGCCAUUUAGGGUUUGGAGGGAGAAAGAAAGCGCCAUGGCGGAGCUGAGGGAUGUGAUAUUUGAGAGUUUCCUUUGCUUGCCCUCUCAACUCGAGAGGAUGGUUUCUAGAAUUCUGGGUUGUGCGGUUCAAUUUACCGGCAUUCUAGGGAUGGGGGGUUGGAAUCUUGUGCUCGACGCGCACAAAGGUGAUCAGCGCGUCGCCAUUCGACUCCCACUCGCAGGUCAGAAGAACCGCAUCACAAGCGCACUGGCGGAUUCGGGCUACGCCGCGACGCUCUUCCUGUCGGGGCUGGGCAUACAGACGGUCGUGGCAGGGCCCGUCCACGUGGCAUCGCCACCGCUGCCCUACACGCCACGCGGCAAAUCCCACCUCACUGUUAUGCCGGUGGCAGAGGGCGUGCCGGCGUGGGAGCUGUGGAGGAAGGGCGCCAGCGUGGAGUGGAAGAAGACCGUGCUCGCUGACUUGGCAGGCAUCACCGUCCGGCUCUACCACCGCCCGCUGGAUUCGAUGGGGGGCAUGGCGGUCGACUGUGCCGGGGCGUGCCACGUGGGACCGGAACCGCAGAGUCCGGUGUCCCAGGCGAUGGAGCGCGGGCUGGACGUGGGGGCUCUCAGCCCCGGGCCUUACUCGUCGUGGAAGGAGUACGCGAGGAACCACAUUGGAGGGCUGAUGGUGCUGCACGGAAACAGCCGCAGGUAUGGCGAAUCGAUACGGGCAAACGCGGCUAUUUUGCUCAGGUGGCUGGACGAGUUCCAAGAAUCUCGCGAGGGGAGCGGCUUUUUUCUUCACCACCCCGACUUUGGACCCACCCAAGUCCUGGUGGAUCCGGCAUCGGGACAUGUCAAGUGCAUUCUGGACUGGGACGGGGCCAAGACGGGGACCGUGCAGAGCUUGGCCACUUCUUUCUUUCUCCCGGCUUACUUCUGCAAGGUGGAGGACGAGGAGGAAGACGAGGAGCUGUUUGGCUUCUUCAAGCAGCAGCUGAUUCAAGGGGGAGCGGCGGAGGUGGCCGCGCUUGCGAGGAGGCACUGGACGCACAAGUCCUGUGAUCCUCAGGUGGUGUUCGAGGAGGAGAUGGACGUUCCGUGCCGUGGUGGCGCGAAGUCUGUGCAAAUUCGUUUGGAGAGGCUGUGUCGCAAAAUGCAGAAGCUGGGGAUUGUGGAUGGCCAGGAGGAGGUUGUGUGCACCAGCCCGCCGUGGAGCAGGACACCAAGCUCUUGGUCUUCUUCAGACGAAGAAGGCGAGACAGAUGGCGAAGAUAUGGCCGAGAAGGGUGCAACCAUGUCCGACGACGACGAGCCAACGGGUUCUUCCUGCUCCGAGUCCGAGUCGAUCGAUUUGGAUUUGGAGAGCACUCCUAGUCCUAGCGCUUCAUCUAGAGAAGAUGUAAGCUACAAAAUUAAAAGCUCAACCUCUGGUUGACUUGAUCUGAAAUCUAAAAUUCUUUGAAGUUGGCUACUACAGAACUUUGACAUGCGAGUGAUGCCUCCUUGCCAAUUCUAUGCAAUUCUUGUUAUGCAGAAAAGAGUACAUCAUGUUUUUGAAUAGUUUAGCUGGUAUGCAGCGUGUUUGUGAAGCAGGGACAAACACACAAUAAAUGCUGCUUGUUGCCAGGGGUAUCAACGAGGUGACGUUUCUUUCGAGUAAAAAGUCUCUGCUACUACAAACGCUUACUUAUAAAGGCUGACAGAACACAGGCCAGAAGAAAUGCAUGAUCACUGAAACAAACAAGCAAGAUCAAAAUCCAUCGGCUCGUUUCCACAAACUCCUCCGUGGCCUCCUCGAGCAGCAAACCCCCACCAGCACCUCGUAUAAAACUCCAGAGCCUCGUCGUGGACGUAGCCCGACCUUGCACGCUGGGCACCAGAGCUUGGAACCCGCCCUUGCUCAUUCCCUAAUCGCGUUGGUGGCCUUGCGCAGUGUGAGUAAAGGAGACCUUUACCAGGCACAGGAUCUUCUUGUCAUCUUCGCUCCUCCUUCAUCCUUGCCAGGAGAUGGCCGGUUCCGCCCGUGGGCGUUGAUCAGCGUCGUGAAGGAGUAGACGUUUCACUUCGAAGACCUUCUCCAGCAGCCCGUCGCGGCCCGUGAUCCAUGGUGUAGAUGUGCUGGGUGCUGGCGCUGCAUGGACUUGAAGCGCGUCGUGCUGCAUCGUGAGCUUGCUGCGGUAGACAUCGCAGCGGGAGCUGGCUCAGCGAGUUGACUCGUUCUCGUAGCCACGAUCAUGGUGGGCGUUUUGACAGGGCUUGGGCACACCUCUGCACAGACGAGCGGCGUUCGUUCUCUUGCUGCUUCUGUGUUGUCACCCGCGGCUUCUAAAGAUGGACGAGGCGAUGACCUGCUGGAGACGAUGGCCGAGACUGGAAGCUGUAGAUGAGCCGGCUGUGCUGCGCGUGGAUGACUUUGCCGACGAUCUCGGCGUGGGAUUCCCGCUCCACUCGUCCAGAGCUUCGGCCUUGGAGGCACUGGGAGCCGAGGAGCGGGAGGCUCUCAACUUGGAGCAAGAGAUCGUCAUUCGCGAGACUCGAUUUGGAGGCCUUAGCUGGUGGCUGCCCGAGUCGGGAGGAGGAACUGGAGAUGAAGAGUGAGGUGGACACUCUCCGUGAGACGGCGGCGAUGCCGAGGCGAGAAGAACUGCAGUGGAAGGAGAAGGGCAAUGGCAAUAACAGGGAUGCGAAGAUAGGAGGAGGCAGCCAUGGAAGCAGAGGCAAGAUGGUUUCGCACGCUAAAAGAACUGACUAGGACCAUACUACCGACACACUCCUGCCUGGUUCUCUGUAACUUGAUCCUCUUAAGUUGAAAGCACCAAGAAGCGUAUGACAAUCUUCGUCAGGCCUACCUGAGAAAAGCCAGGAGCUUGGAUCUGUCCAAGGGCAACAAGUUUGGUGGACAUGUUCUUGAAAUGCAGCAGCAUAGUCAAUGCUCGUCGAGUCUACGACAAAGUCCCUGCCGUGAAUGUUCCCGAGUUCACUGCAUUGGAUCGAUCCUUGGCGCUCUUGAGAAUGGCACUGUGGCCAGGAACCGGGCCAAAUCUUUUUGUCCAAACGCGAAUGCCAAUGGCUUUUAAUGUAGCUCCAGCCAUGGCCAAAUCGAGCUGGGCGAGGAUGAACUCGAUGAGCUUGACGAAUUGUCGUUAAAAGUCAACGUAAGGCCAACGGUCGAUGUUAUUAUUUUUAAGAGAUAUUAGUCAAUCUGUAAGGCCUAUUAGCUCAGCUGGUCAGAGCGUGGUGCUAAUAACGCCAAGGUCGCAGGUUCGAGACCUGCAUGGGCCAAAUAUUUUGGAAUGCUUAGGGCUUGGACAAUGUAGCUCCAGCCAUGGCGGGCAGACAUAGGUAACCUGUUCUCCACUCAUUCUAGUUCCAUGGCUGCUAUCACUGCCCUCCUCCAUCCAUCUUUAUCUUCGCGUCCUCGUCUCGUCUCGUCUUAUCGCCAUCGCCCUCCUCGAGCAAGAACAUUCCAUUCUUCCACUGCAGUUCUUGUCGCCUCCUCGGCAUCACCAUCGCCAUCAUCGCACGAAGAGUUUUCAUGUCAAUCUCCAUCGCCCGACUCGAGCAAGCACAAGCUCAGGCCUCCAAAUCGACUCUCGCGAAUGGCCGGCGGGGACGAGUUCCCCGACCACUUGCUCCAAGUAGAGAGCCUCCUCCACAUCCUCCGCUCCACGGCUCCCAAUCCCUCCAAGGCCGAAGCUCUAGACGCGUGGAGCGGGGAUCUCACACCGGAGAUCGUCGGCAAAGUCAUCCAGGCUCUCAAGUUCGUCGACGAUGCCGUGUUCUUCUUCACGUACGCGCAGCAUAGGCCCGGCUACCGCCACUCCAUCUACACCUACAACUGCUUCCUGCGUGUUCUCCUCCGGGCUUGCCUCUACGAUCGCGCCCGAGAGCUCCUGUCCGAGAUGGUCGACUCCUGGCAGCUCCCAAACGCGUCAACUUUCGCGGUCAUCUUGCACGGCUUUGGCGACGUCGCGAUGGCCUGCGAGGUGCUCGUCGAUCUCAAGAGCAAAGGUGUGGCUCCCAACACCGCGGAGUGCAAUGCCAAGAUCACCGCUCUCUGCAAGGAGGCCCGCUUCGACGAUGCCAAGCUGCUGUUCCGGAAGAUGGUAGAGAUGGCUGCCGAGGACGUGACGAGCUACUAUCUCCUUGUUCGUCCGCUUUGCAAGGCCAAGAUGAUCGAGGACGCCGAGGUGCUUGUCACCGAGUCGAGGAAGAAGUUCCGGGAACUCCCGCUCCACAAUCUGGUGGUGUCCUCGUACUGCAAAGGGAAGAAGCUGGAUGCUGCCGUGGCCGUGUACGAGAAGAUGGUGGCGACGAACUCUUGCUCGGCGGAUUUCGUCACCUACACCAGCCUGAUCCAGGGACUCUGCAAGGUGAAGCGGCUGGAGCAGGCCUUGAUCUUCCUGGGGAAAAUGGUCUCCAAAGGCUUCCACCCGGACGUUUACACCUACACUGCCGUCAUCCACGCCCUGUGCGUCGAGAACCGGCUCCACGAAGCUCGAAAGUUUCUGGAAGAGAUGGCCAACCGGAACCUCACUCCAAACGUUGUCACGUACACGGUUCUCAUCGACGGGCUCUGCAAAGGUGGCCGGGUCGACGAGGCUGUGGCGCUGCUGUCCAAGAUGCGGAAGAAGUGCGUCCCCACGGCUGUGACUUACAACAGCCUGAUAAGCGGUCUCUGCAAGGCCGAGCGGGCGAGCGAGGCCUACGACCUCCUGGAGGAGAUGGUGUACAGCGGCUGCAUCCCGGAUAUCUUCACGUAUACCACGCUCAUCACCGGCUUCUGCAAGUCAAAGAAGUCGGAUGAUGCUCUCCGAGUAUUCGAGCAGCUGGUUGCCAGAGGCUUCCGUCCCGACGUUGUCACGUACUCGUGCUUGAUCGAUGGACUUUGUAAGGAAGGCCGGCUCAAGGAGGCGAUCGAUCUCUUCGGCCGGAUGAUCAAGAGCGGCAGCUGUAUGCCGAACACGGUGACUUACAACUCCCUCAUCAGCGGCUUCUGUCGGAUGGGAAAGAUGGACGAGGCGAUGAACCUGCUGGAGAGGAUGGCCGAGACUGGAAGCUCUCCGGACGUGGUGACUUACACCACUCUCAUGAACGGCUUCUGCAAGCUGGCGAGGCUAGACGAUGCGUACGAUCUUCUCAACCAGAUGACCCGCAAGGGGCUCACCCCGGACGUGGUGACUUUCACGAGCUUGAUGGACGGGCUCUGUCGAGAGAACCGGCUGAGUGACGCUGUGCAUAUCCUCGGUGAAAUGAGGAGGAAGAGCUGCUCACCCACAGUCUAUACGUAUAACACCAUCCUCGAUGGCUACUGCAGAGCAAACCAGUUGGAGGAGGCCCGGAAGUUCAUGCUGGAGGAGAUGGACUGUCCUCCCAACGUUGUCUCGUUCAAUAUCAUGAUCCGGGGACUGUGUAAAGUUAACCGGUCCAGCGAAGCCAUGGAGCUCGUCGAAGAAGCCCGAAGAAGACGUUGUAACCCGGACGUGGUGAUGUAUACCACUGUUAUCGAUGGCCUUUGCAGAGAGAAGAAAGUCGACGAGGCUUGUCGAGUGUAUAGAAAGAUGCUGGAGGAGCCCGGGUGCUUGCCAAACUCUAUAACGUAUUCCACAUUGGUUACUGGCCUUUGCAAUGCUGGUAUGCUUGAUCGAGCUCGCGGGUAUAUAGAGAAGGGCUGUGUUCCAAACAUCGGGACUUAUAACCUUCUCAUUGAUGCGUUUCGUAAGGCCAAUCGCGAUGAGGACGCUCGCGAGCUCCUAGAUGAUAUGGUCCAGAGAGGCUUCGGUGUUGUCCAAAGCCACCAACGCUGAAAGUUAUGCUUCCGGUUUCAUGUCUCGGAGCCUUGUCCAUGCCUCCUCGAAGUCUUCUGGAGGAGGACAUGUGAAGUGAACGUACUUUUCUGUGGCAGGGUGCUCGAACCUGAAAACGUUUAUUAGCUCACGCAAAUUUCUUAUACGAAACCUCACCCGAGGCUAUAGGCAUGCAGACAAGGGCGACGAAUGUCCGAUGUGAACUCGUGAAUCUUCUUUCGGCUGUUCGUUUUAGUCGCGCUUAGAGCGGAAAAUAGAUUCGAAUUCGCUUUUCCCACUGUUCCUCCAUAAACAUCAUCCCCAAGCAGCGGGAAACCCAUGUAACGUGCAUGAACUCUUAUCUGGAAGGUUCAGUUUAGUAUCAGAGCUCCUGAAAUUAAAGAAUACGAACUUGAUGAGUUCUCCCUGUCUCCAGCUUCCACUGAACAAGAGCCACACCACCAUUUGCGAGAACGUCUAGAACCUUGUACCUGAAAUGAUAAUGAAAUGGUGAUACAAAAGAAACUCGUUGCGACAUACCUGCUUGCAGCAAAACGCGCAUUUCUGGCGGAUGGAACAGUAUCUGACGUCGUCAUGCGUUUCCUAUCUCGCGGAUCACGAAGGAUUUCAGCCUCAAUGCGGCCGCUCGUCGUUGAAGGUGUACCACACGUAAGACUCAGAUAGGUUCUUCGGACUUUCCGAGAUUUAAAUUGCUCGCUCAAACUCAGCUGGGACUGUUCAUCCUGAAAAUAACAAUAACAAGGCAUACUCAGCACCUGGUAACACAAGACGUGUCUUACCUUACUUUUGCAACGACGAUGAGUCCACUGGUACCUUUGUCCAGUCUAUGCACAAUCCCAGGCCUUAUCACCGGUCUCGGACCCCGAAAUCUUGAAGGAGUCUCGCCUCUAACUUUGUGUACCUCGACUUCAUCUUUCUCAUAGUCUUGGUCUCCAUUUUCACUCAGCUCCUCUCCUUCAUCGUCAUCGGAUUCCUCGUCCAUCAUUACUGGAAGAGAAACCUCGACAGCAGGAAGGCCGCAGUGAUGGAGGAUAGCAUUCACCAAAGUCCCACCGUAAUGUCCUGGAGCCGGAUGCACAACCUGUGAAAACUUGUAUUUAGCCAGGUCCAAAGCGAAAGUCUCUCGACUACAUACCAUAUCGGCAGCCUUGUUGACAACAAUCACAUGAUCAUCUUCAUGAACAAUGUCUAGCUGAAUUUUCUCAGGAGUAGCUUCCAAAGGAGCAGCACCGCAGAGAGUACAGACAACUUCGUCACCACCAAUGACAGGAAACGAAGGCUGCCAGAAAUCCAAAGCUUAGCUAAAAAACAUGAAAGUGAAGUGCAAAUGAGCUAGAAGAAAGCCUCGUACCUUGGUGAUGGUUUUCCCAUUGACAAGAGCAAGCCCCUUGCGAAUGCUGUCUUGGACGCGAGCUCGACUGGUAUGAGGGAGCUGACCCGAAAGCCACACGUCGAUUCUAGUGCUCACGGUCUCCUCCGGGAUAGUGCCAUGGUACUCGCCCAAUGCGUGAGUUCCCCUGGCCAGAACUCUCGCUGGAACCGACGAAGAAUUCCAGCCUCUACCACUGCGCCAAAGCGCUAGCUGUGGACGCGCCACUAGCAUUCUUUCUAUCUAUCCGGCCACCAGAACCCUAAAUCCCAACAUCUCGCCCAGGAGAUCCCAUCGUGUCGUGUGCCACACCUGCAUUAGCUGCCUGUCCUCGAGAUGGAGCAAAAUAUUCGCUCGUGCUCUCGCGUCCUUCUUCUCAAACUCCAGGCGAUCUUCCUUCCUCGCGAAUUCUCCUCCGAUCCGCUCACCACGCCCCACUGAUAGUGUAGCACCAGCAAGUUGCAUCCGAACAUUCGAACGCAACCGGAUUCGAACGGGUAUCGAACGUUUAAUACCCGUUUAGCUUUUUUUCGAACGGGUAUAAUGGUUUUCAGUUUUUUUCGACCCCUGAUUUUACGGGUUUUUCCGAACCCUGAUUUUACAUGAACCCUAAUCCUAAGUAAAAGAAAGCAUAUUCUUUAGGGUUUUUAAAAAUAUUCUUGGUGUUUAAACGCCGUUUUAAACACCGUAUUAUACACGCGUUUUAAACGGCGUUUUUUAUUAAUCGUACCCGUUCGAAUGCAAGUAUGCCAGCAACAUUUGCAUCCUCAUCUUCCACACGUGGAAUCUGGUGCCGCCGAAUCGCUCCACCAAGAACAUCGACCCUUGUUCGUCCCUCAUCGGGAGAAAUCUUUCCUCCCUGUACGAGCUCUCAUCUCUGUGCGGGAUUUCUCGCGGAAAUGCGGCCUCGGGAGCUUCGAUCCGGGAGGAUUUCGAGUUGUCAGAUAAACAAGAGCCCUAAAACCAGACUAAAAUUUUUCUUCUCUUUGUUUGUUCUAUGUUCAUGCUCAUGUUUGUUUUUUAGGAUGAGUUCUCCUCGCUUCCACUGGUCAUUCCAGAAGACAAUUCUCGGAUUGGUAAGAACUUUUCGUGUUCUUCUUAGAAAACCUUCUUUGUUUCAAGAGCGAGCUGCUCGAUCACUGCUCCUGAGCGAGGAUUGGAGAUCGAUGACAUGAAAUCGUGAGUCUCUUGCAAUUCUCCAUCGUGAAUGCCACCCGAGCUCAAUGGUUUUUCAGACGAAGGAUUUGCAGGUGCCUUGAGACGAAAAUUCUUUUAUCAUCUUUUCUCAGAAGCUGUGAUUCUUGUCCAGGUGUUGUCGUGGAUUUGUUCUCGAAAGCGGAAGUUUUGCCAGAGCUCCACACGUUCUUUAUGAAAGCUAUCUACAAUCUCGUAUCAUGAUCAACUUCCUGGAGAAAAUGACUUGCCUGUCUAUACUUCCAGACAGACCAAUCAAUGCAGGCCAUCUGGCAAGAUUAAGAUCCUGAUCCUGAACAAGCUCAUGAGCUCACUGCUUAGUUUGAUCCACUGUAUAGGUGGAAAUCUUACAAACUUGGAGAACUACUUCUCAGUUUGUAGGGUGCCACUAUCAACCAACUCACACACAUAGUGAAAUUGGACUUAAUGUGCUUUGAGCAAGCAUGGUGGAUGGGGUUCUUGGACAUGGCAAUACUACUUCAGUUGUCACACCAAGAAGUAGUGGGGCCAGCUUGUGCACAUCCCAGCUCAGCAAGUAACUCCCAAGCCUAGACCACAUCCCUGCUACCUAAGUGCAAUGUACUGCACUUUUGCACUAGAAAGUGCCACCACAAAUUAUCGCUUGGAGCCCCACGUGAUGGCACCUCCUGAGAAGGAAAGGCAAAUGCCAGAAGUCGAGUGAUGGCCUUUGUUAUUUGCAAAGCUAACAUCUAUGUAACAUGUCAAUAAUGCAUCACCCCCCGAAUAAACAAUGCUACGGUCCAUGGUGCCUUGGAGGUUUUUGAUGAUAUGCUUGGUAGCUUGCCAAUGUAUAUUGGUUGGCAAUAUAUUGUACUAACUAAGGCAAUAGUCACUAGGGCAAGUCAUCAAGGCCAAAUAUAUGAGGCAACUGAUGAGAUGCCAAUAGGGAGUCCCAGUGAGUAGAGGCUCACCAGACUGCUCAACUAUGAGGUCGAUAGCACCAACAACUAUCGAGGUAUUGAUGGGGUGACAAUCACGCAUACCAAACCAAUCUAGCAAGACUUUUACCUUACAUCAUUGGCUAAGCAUGUAGCCACCAGACUUAAGAUCAUGUGUGACCUCAAAGCCAAGAAAGUAAGAGUCUUGGCCAAGGCCCUUCAUCUGGAAUUUCUGGCUAAGAACAGCUUUUAGAGCAGCAAUCGCAUUAGUGUCAUCACCCUUGAUGGGCAAAUCAUCAAUGUAGAGGGCCAAAAUAAACAUGCUUUCAGCAUGACCAUUCACAUACACAUUGUGAUUAGUAUGGUAGCAAUGAAAGCCUUGAGUGCAUAGGAUGGCAUCAAAUUUUUGAUACUAAACAUGGGAGCUCUGUUUUAAGCCAUACAAAGCUUUCUGCAGUUGCUGUAUAGUGUCACUAGAGGCAACAUCAUCCUCAAAACCAGGAGGUAUAUACAUAUAGAUGUCCUCUUGCAAAUCCCCAUUCAAGAAUGUUGUUUUGACAUCUAUAUGGUGGACUUGCCAUUUGCGAGUAGCCACAAGUGCAAAAAGGGUAUGGAGGCUAGCCAUUUUUGCAACUAGUGAGAAUGUUUCAUCAUAGUCAAGGCCAUAAGUUUGGCAAAAUCUGUGAAUAACAAACCAUGCCUUAUAAUAUACCAUCUUUCCCAUACUUUUUGGAUCCAAAACACGUCAUCUUGGUGGAGUUGAAUCCACUGGAACAUAAGUGCCAUUAACCUGAAUGGAAGCAACUUCUUCCUCAAUGGCUUCCAUCCAAGAUGGAACUUUAGGUCUUGAGACAGCCUCAUCAUAGAUCAUGGGGAUGCUAAUAUCAACAAGGCCAUAAAAGUCAUCAAGCUCUAUAGCAUCUACUUUAGCAUUUUCCCAGACUUUCUUCAAUGAAGGCUGAUGUUUCUAGGGGUGAUCAAGAACUAGCAUUGGAUCAAGUAUGCCACAACAUCGACAAGGUGGUGGAGGUGUCGGAGGCCUAUCCUUGAUUGGAGGAGAGAAUCAAUUGAUUCAGGCAUGUCUAAAAAUGGAGGAUUCCCCAGUGGAAUCUCUAGUGGCAACUCAUGAAUAGGAUCUAAAGAUGGAGGCAAAAGGAGAUCAUCUCCUAUAAGUGGGAUCAAAGGAACAAAUCAAGUCUUCGAAAUGAAGAAGGAUCUUGAAGAACCUUUGUAUGCAUGGGAAAGUCAUCUUUGUUGAAUAUGACAUCUGUGCUUACAAGGGCCUUGUGAGAUGCAAGAUCCCACAACUUGUAAGCUUUUUUCCUGAUGGUGUCAUCCUGUGUAUAUCCUAUGAAGAUGAAUUUUGUACUUUUGGGAUCUAACUUUUUCUGAAUUUGAUCAGAGGUAUGCACGUAUGCUGCACAACUAAAGACUUGAAAGUGGGACAGAUCAAGUAUCCAAAAUGCCUCAAGGGUUUUUCCAUCCAAAGCAAUUGUGCAAGGCAAUUUUGGACAUGCAUUACUGUGGCUAUAACCUCUUGCCAAAAUGUUUUAUCAAGAUGUGCAUCAACUAACAAAGCACAAGUAACAUUGACAAUAAUGCAAUUCUUCCUUUCCGGAACAUCAUUUUGUUAGGGGGUGUAGUGGGCUAUGGCUUGUGAUCAUAUGCCUACAUCAUGACAGAUGCCCUAAAGCUCAUUGGUAAGGUAUUCACCACUACCAUCAACUCCAAAAACUUUUAUCUUUUAGCCAAAAAGAUUUUCAACAUAGGCUUUAUAUGUUUGAAUUGCAACAACUGCAUCACUCUUGUGCAUCAAGAAGUGGAUGCAUAUCCAAUGGCUAUAAUCAUCAAUGAAUGUGAUGAAAUACCUUACACCAUUGUGGUUUGGCAUGUUUACGGGGCCACAAAGAUCAGAAUGGACUAAGUCCAAAAGUCCAAUUGCUUGAUGCUUGCUUAGUGAGAAAUUUUUGGCAGUGAUGUUUGCCUAGAAUAUAAGCUUCAUUAAAUAUAAAUGGAAUAUGUCAAAAAUCCAAUUGAGUAAUAAUAUCUUGGAAUUUCAUCCACUGAAGAGAUUGGUAAUGCACAUGACUAAAUCUCUUGUGCUAGAGCUCCACACUAGAAUCUACCUCAAUGGUUUGAAAGGCUUUAACUUGGUUGGCAGUAAUGGUCUCGUACAAGUCUCCAAUGCAUGGCUCACGAAGCAACUAUGUACCAAACAUGUGAAAGUCGCUAAAAUCAACCAAAGAGACUCCCUUUGCAUUAAAGACUACCACUGCAUCUUGAUCACAUAUUUUAGUGACAAACAUUAAGUUUUGUUGCAAGAUAAAGAUAUGCAUAGCACCAUCAAACGUCAUGGUCCUCCCAUGAUCAAGUGAGAGCUAAAAUUGCCCAAUGCUUUCUAUGGGGAUAGUGAUAUUGUCACAUAAAUGAACACCACAUUUUCCAACGCUCAGUUGGUAACACUAAAAAAGAUUUUUCUUAUUGCCUAUAAGACUAGUAUAACCAAAGUUUAGAAGCCACCUACUUGGUGUUCCAACUACCUCUACAUUGUAGAGCUCUUUCUUAGCCUUAUUUAUUAUAGCAAUUCCAUCACUCUUGAGUAGUUUGGCUUUUGCUGUUGUAGCUAGCUAGCUUUGAAGCUAACAGGCUUCAAAAUAGUGCAAUCUUGAGCCCAAUAGCCCAUCUCCAAGCAGUAGCACAUUGAUUCUUGGCAAGUCUAGGCUGGGUAUGCCCAAAUGCCAUAGAAUUUUGCCCUUUUUAGGCAUUAACAACGGCAUGCAAUUUUGCCACCUUGGCAUCACCA
rnacentral:lncRNA from 1 species